rnacentral:lncRNA from 1 species
UUCUUUUUUUUUCUUUUUUGGUUCUCCUCUUCGGUCAUCCACACUCUUCCCUGUUCCGUGCUUGGGUGCCACACUGCCUCGUGCUAAUUUUUUUCCCCCGUGUUCCGAGGACGAUCAGGUGCUCGCAUAGGCGCAUCAGGCACGUGAACCCGAGAUGAACGGAGGGGGAUGGGGCCAUUCUUGACUGACUGCUUCCCGAUCCAACGGCUGAGAGAGGGAGUACUUUUAAUCCAGAGACCGGAAGGCGGUACGAAGCUCGAUUAAGUUCUUUCCUUUAAAAAGGAUGAUUCAUAAUUCUCAUUCUUCGUGUGCACAUAAUUAGUAGAAAUAUGAAAAAUGGUAUUAUCCUUCUACAUAUUUUACAUAAUCAACUUGUGAUACACCAGUAGACCACAUCAUCUCAUCUAGUCUGAGUCUUCUCACUUCUUUAAGUUUCCAUAAUCACCUAAAAUUUAUCCUGUUUGAACUAAAGCUGUUGGAGAUAAAAAAAAGUCCAUUUCAUCCUCCCUUUUUACAUACGCGCCAAGAGAUAAUGUGGAGGUCUUAGCCCCACCUGUUUUUAGUCCCGAGUCCCGAUUAUGUGGGUUAGCCCAGUCUUAGUGCACAGUUCCAUUGUACAGUUAUCUAGACUGAGAAUUAGGUAACUGUACCAGAUGAGUGUUAUGGGAAUGAAACUCUUCUCUCAUCUGAUGAAACUCCCCCUAUUAAUUACCUUACCAAGUCAACAAUUUUGCUGAUGUGGCAUUGAAUUUAAUACCACGGAACUCUCAUGAAACUCCCCAUUGAAAUUGGCCGGACUUGCUGCAAGCAAACUGCUCCUAUAAAUUAAGCGAAAAUUCUAGAUCAAACAUGGACUACAUUGUACAGGCAACUCCAUGAAUCUAGAAUCACAUGACACUGCAUCAUUAGGAAUCAGACAUUAAGCAAUACAUUCAAGAGUCCAUAUAUCAAACAAUUUAUUGAAUGAUAAUUCAAGGUAUUAUGCAUUGUGAGUCAAGAGUUUCCUGCUGUUUUGAAUCACAUUGAUUGCAUCCCACGAAAUAUGUGGAAUCCAUUAUUGAUUCAAGUGUUGACACAUCUAUCAGCUGUUUUUGCUAUAAAUAUUGUCGGGACUCAACCAUAGUACAUCACAAUUUAUCGAUUAAUCAAUGGCCAUAUCUAUCAGCUAAAAGGUUAACAAAUGUAAAAUCAAGCCCAAAAAGGAACCUGCCGAUGAUUGCUUUGACAACCACACUUUCUCUUACCAAUAGUGUAUCUCUUCUUACCUAAAAGGAAGGAUCUAUUGCUGAAUCUUCAAGACGGGAAAGGCAAUAACAUCCCUUAUGCUGGCAGAGUUCGUCAAAAGCAUUACUAACCGGUCGAUACCCAGGCCCUGAGGUAAAGUUCCUAAAAAGUUAGUUACACAAGCGACAUGUUCUUGAUAAAUAAUUAAGUGAAUAGUUCUAAGAACAAUAGCAAAUUAGCAACCACUAUAACACACUAGCUGCAAGCAGUUGAUCAGCCAUACCAUUCCUGAUGCUGGUGGCAUUCCAUAUUCUAAAGAAGUUAAGAAGUCUUCAUCUAAACAAACUUCAUAGGAAUAAUCAUCCUCAUCUCCUUGAUCCUCAGUAGAUUUGACCUUAGCACUUGCAGCACGUUUAGCAUUGUGCUGUUUUAUUUGAUUUUCAAAACGGCUCCUCUGCAAGAAAAGAAAACAUGCUGCUCCUUUGAAACUAAAGUGACCUAUAAAAUGAUGAUAGCUUGAGAUAGAAUUCAAGACAUGGAGCUAAAAAGCAUGUAUGUGAUUUCCAGCUAUCUUAAUGAUCAUCAAAAACAUCCUAUCACUCAGGGACUGAACUGUAUCUUUUUUCUCUCUCCAUUUUCCAGGAAGGAGCUUUUGCCGGGGAAAUUUGAUAUCUACUUUAAGCUGUAAGGUGGUACAUCACGGGCAGACUGUUGGAAGUUAAUAGGACACCUUGGUUUGGCCUUGCUGUCUAGUUUACAAGCCUUUCGAGUAUGGACCCACACUAAUAGCAAUAACAAGCUGUGUCAAUACCCAGAAGUAACUGUUUGCUGCAGAUUAGGUUUUAGUUUAACCAAGGUUUUGGGGUUCUUGCACAUGGACCCAAGCUAGGUCAGAGGUCAGUGGGACAAAGAGGUUUUAAAGCAAAAUAAAAUAAAAUGUUUCAUACUACUAGACCAUUCCAUACCACAUGUAGUUUUACAGCUUGUCAACUGCAAAUAAAUUACAAAUAUUUGCAUAUGAUCACAGGACACAAACUUCUUUUCGAUGUCCUUACCGAACUUCACAAAGAAUGCUUCAAAUGAUGGUACUUAGGUAUGCAGUAAGAAAGUGACACAUUCUUACCUGAUCAAUUGGGUCUGUGAGCUCAGAAAAUGCAUUGCCAAUCUCACGACCACAUAUAAAAAGUUCGAAUCGCUCAGUAAGGCCAGCAUAACUACAGCAAGAGAAACAAACUAUUGAAGUGAACACAAAAGUUCAUCAUAUAUACAGACACUCUAUUCAGAUAACCAAAAUAAAUAACACAAUUAAUUUGUACCGAAAGGUCACUAGCAUCCAGUAAAGAACAUUAUAUAAUCUGGAACUGUGCAUGUGUGGAAAAGUUUUAAAGUUAUAUGAGCAGAUAACCUAUUAAUGAUCUGGCCUUUAGCACAGAUUGCAGAAGCAUCAACCGUUUCUAGAAUGAUGAGCGCAAAUAGGAGCCGAUGUGAUAUGGGAGUGGGAUUUGGAAGAUAGGUAGGCUAAUUCGGGACAAGAGAUAAACAAACUCGCCCUCAUGAUGCAGGCUCUGAGCUAUUAAGGUUUAUACUUGCUUACUUUUCCUGAUCAACCUCACCCUCAAUAUAUAGGGUCUGUGCAGUUACAAUUCCAUAAGCUUACAACUCAUCCCAAGUCUAUCUCUAACAAACCAGCCUAACAAUCUUCAAGCAGAACUCUAAAAAAAACUCGACCUGCGGGGGGGUAAGACAGCCCCUGAGCAUUUUGCUAAGAAGAAGACCUUCUCACGCAGGUCGAGAAAACCCCCGAACCCCUGCCCCACCCUUACAUAGCAGCACCAUAGCCCGUGUGAGACAACCAACGACCUGGGUCGGGCCUUAGACCUAUGCUUUGGCGUGGGACAGACGAGGAGAUUUUUUUUUUAACCCCAGCCUGAAAUUCGCUCCCACGAGGAGUCGAACCCAGGACCUGAGGAGUGCUACUGGAGCCACCUAACCAACUCAGCUAGAGGCCUCUCCUAUGCAAUAUCUAAACAAACCGACUAAGUCUAUCUCUGUCUCAAGCUGACUCCUUGCUGUGCAUAUGUUGCCUGCCCACAAAUGUGUCUACAACACGAGUCCAAAUGGGCGUAAUGCAUAAUAAAACUAUUGUGUAUUUGUGUGCACAAUUUUCCAUUAACGAGAUUUUUUGUCAUGGAGUUGCAUAUCUAUCGAAAGCCCCUAAAAAGUGCUUAACCAGAAAAAUACCCCUCCAUAUUGAAAUAGUGAGAUAUAAGUUGUGUUUUGACUUUUUAAUGCCCCAAAAUGGAACUUAAUGUUAAUUUCUUUUAUGUUAUGUUGACAAUAAACACAAACAAUGGUCACAAGGAAUCAAACAGUAAGAUUUAUGUCACUAAACUAAUAAAAUGUUUAAGAAGCAUAAACCUUACAGUAUUUGACCCUCAAAAUAUGUAGGCACCAUGUAAACUGAAACAGGGGGAGUAUUUACCUCCGAUGUGGUUUUGCCAAUGGUGAUAUCUCAACUGGGUAAUCAAGCACAAAUGUUGGUUGUACUAGAGUAGAUUCAACGAAAGUCUCAAAAACCUGCCAUUAGAUGUAGAAUUGUUAAAUGAGCCUCUUGACAGCAUGAUAUAUAAGACACAUUGAAAUCUUGCAGUUUCGAGGAUGGGGUGUUAUGUUUGAUUACAGCAUGCUACUUAAACAACGCACUGCUGCAAUAUUUCAGAGCUACUCUAAUCUAAAAGUCUCAAAAACCUGCCAUUAGAUGUAGAAUUGUUAAAUGAGCCUCUUGACAGCAUGAUAUAUAAGACACAUUGAAAUCUUGCAGUUUCAAGGAUGGGGCGUUAUGUUUGAUUACAGCAUGCUACUUAAACAAUGCACUCCUGCAAUAUUUCAGAGCUACUCUAAUCUGAACUUCAAGGCACAUAGCUAGAUACAAUUAACAGGAAAGGCAAACCAAGAAAGCACAAUUCUCACAGUAAUCUUGGGUGUGCAUAUUCAACAAACUACACCAUCUGUAAAAUUCAUUAGUAAACUCCUUACGCAUAAAUUAUUAGAAAUAUUCCAGAUAAGCUUUCAACAUGCCAUCCAUAUCCAUGAUUAAAUUUGCAACAAUAUAUUCAUAGUUAUAAGAAAGUAAGGAGAAGAUAAUUCUUAAAUACAGAAAUCAGCAACACACAUUAACUAAUAGCAUGCUUACUCAACAUACUACUGCCUCUGAUCCCAUAACAAGGAAGCAUGCCAAGAUCAAACCACCCACAAAAUAGGAGAUUGAGAGCUAUAUUGGCUGCCGGAUUCCAUGGAGUCUGGUAUCUAUCUAAAGGUCUUGUAUGUUCUCUCCCUUCUUAUUCUUUGUUCCUUUUCUUUGUCUUGUGUGUACUUAUAUUUUUACAAGCUUUGCAUAUAGUAGGAUCCUUCCUAAUGUUUUCCAUAAAAAUUAGAAUCUAAAUCUCGUCUUUCAAAAAUGUGGGCAUUUAGCUUCUCCAAACUCUGACAAGUGCAUCAAGCGUUCAUGCCACCUACAGUUCUCAGCUUCAACCUUCUACUGAUGGCAAGGCAACAGCUAACAGAAUAUUUUUACUGACUUCUGUUUAUGAUAAAUAAAAACUUCACUUUUUGUUUGUAGGAAAGCUGUCUAAUUCCACUUGUUAAAUAACCAAGGGAUGACUCGUUACAUUUAUUGAAAACUAAAAAAAGUGUAUAAAAAAGCCUACCUCAUUGAGAACAUGUCCAACAGAUGAACAGGAUUGCAGUGAAGUACUUUCACUGCUUCCUACUUUGAUCCCUGGCAGUCCUCUUGCAGCAAUUUUAGCAGAUUCAACAUCUUGGCCAAAGUUGUUGAAGUCAAUUCCAGUUGCUUCUUUGACAAGAGAAUGCAUGGUUUCCCUCCUCCAUGGUCUUUCGAGAGAAAUUUCAGUUCCCUGCGUUUUAUUGAACAGGACCAUGUUAACUAAUGGGUAUAAAGGGAGAAAUAUAUAGCUGUGCAUCUUAAGUGUCAAUGGGACUGGUUUCCAUCAACAUCUGUGCUACAAGGUAAGAAUGAAUAUUCGAUAGUAAAUUGGUGAAAUUGCACAAAAACAGGUUUCGAGGUAAUAUAGCAAAUUGGAAUAAGUAACAAAUCGUGGCAUGAUUUUUCCAUGAUAAAGCAUGCAUUUCCACACAAUUCUAAACAAAAGAGGAUGUGAUAUAAACUUAAAAUAAAUGGCAGGAUAAAAACUGAUUACCUGAUAAUCAACCUUAAGCUUGCCAUGAGUAGCCAUAGCACAUCGAGUGACAAUUUCUUCGGCCAUAUUCAUCAUGCUUUCAUAGUCUGAAUAUGCUUCAUACAUCUAGUUUGCAAAUACAAGGCAACAAGCCAGGCUCAAUUUUAUGUAGCACAUUCUGCCAUGCAAAAAGGGAGGCAGACAAGGAAACAUAGAAUAUAUAGUGGCACGGAUAAAAGUAAACCAUUAAUUACAUGCAUAUUUGGAGAGAGUUUGGAGGGAGGGAGGGGGAGGGGUUGGGGGAUAAACUCCUACCUCAAUAGUGGUAAAUUCAGGAUUAUGACGAGUAGAGAUGCCUUCAUUCCGGAAAAUUCUUCCAAUCUCGUAGACCCUCUCAAGCCCUCCAACCUGCACUUUGUCAACGGUAGUCAUAACCUUGAAAAUAAGAAAAAGAUGGGUGCUGAGGCAGAAUAGUUGUACAACUCUUCCAAUGGACCCUUGGCACAGUGCAUGGUCUCAUUGGCACCCAUCAAAUGCUAAUGAACGGCUAAAAAGGUGGGAGACACCAGUUAUAUAGCAUAAAAUUCUCAAAAUGAUAAAUUCCUCUAAGAAGAAAUAUAAUAUGCCCCUAAUUGUGUGACUUUAGUAUUUUAGGAAAAACAAUUGAUAUCAACCAGUAGAGAGACACAUGUAGCUAGGAAAAACUACAAAUCUUAUUGAUUUAUAGUUGUGUUAACAUGCUAAAUUAAGAUCAAACUGAAAUUAAUAGAAUACCAUUGUUGUCUGUUAUAUACUACAUUUAUGAAGAUACUACAUGCAGCAUUUCCUAGCAAUAGUCUUAUCAAAGUACAGGAAAGAAAUUGUAUCACAUAAAACGAUAGUGUCAUGGACUGGUUUGAGAAUCAACUAUGCAGUUACCGAAACUGAAGAACCGAAAACUGAACUGUAACCUCACCAACAUCCUUUUCAAAUGCAGCUCUGUUGCAAUCCUCAGGUAAAGAUCUCUUUGAAGUGAGUUAUGGUAGGUUAUAAAAGGCCUAGCUUCAGCACCACCUGCUGCUCCCUGUUUUUACCAUUUUGAUGUGUAAUGUUGUAAAAAAAGGAUCAGAAAAUACAGUACUAACGAUUCAAGCAUAGUGGUACAAAAAGAACCUAAUUCUUUCAGUAUACACCUGUAGAACUGGAGUUUCAACUUCAAUGAAACCAAAUGAUUCCAUUGUCUUGCGGAUUUCAGAAACCACCUGUCAAAAAUGCAAAUAUCUAAGUUAAUUGUAAAAGAAGUUGUCCUGAAUUAGCCAUUCCGGGAGGACCUAAGGACGUGUUCUUACAACAUAUACAUUUUUCUUUCUCCAUCCCAUAACCUUACUUUAACCUCUAAAGAAACACGUGGUUCCUGUGCCACAUAAUAUUUGAAUGAUAUAGGAGUUCCCAAAUCAGAUAAUAAUAGUUGUAGUUAAUAGCCCAUCAUUAAACAGAUAACAUUUUUGCUCUUACAUCUCAUCUAGUUCACAAGUUUCAGAAUGCAAAUUCAGCACUCCAUGUAGCCAAUACCUUUGCUCUAGUUCGGAAUACAUCAGCAACCUCAGGAUUUGCAAUCAUGUCAACAUACCUGUCAUGGAUCAACGAUGGCACAGAUGAAUAUUCCACUUUCCAUUAAAAAAAUGAAAUCAUUUAAACCAGGACCGAAGAAAUAGAAAUAAAGAUGCUAAGACAGUAAUUCUGAAGGGAGGGGUACUUUUUUAUCCAUUAGUCAACCUUGUACACUGAUAGAAUAUAUUAGAGUAUCAAAUGGGUACUAGUUACAAUCAGAAUAAAAUCUGACUUAGAAGGUAGAUGAAGCAAGGUGAAAGCCAACCUUUGACGAUAACGUUUGUCCACAUCAGUUAAACCAUGAUACUUGUCUGGUAGUGGCAGUAAGGAUUUUGUGAGGAUCUCAAAAUUUUUCAUAUAAACAGAUAGUUCCCCUACAGUGAUAUCCAACAUGUCAAGAAUAUGGACAACAGGUAAACAACAAAAUGAGGAUAAGCAAUGAAUCAAUAUCAAUAUUAUCAGGAUUACACACUGAAAUCAAGUCCUAUAAUCAGAUAUAGCCCUGGACUCUAGAAGCCCAGGUUGAUUAAUUGUGCAGUCUGUUAUUUAGCUGUUUUUUUAUUCUAUCUGCUAAGUGAAGCAGGUUGCUUAACGUUUCACUAUUCAAAUUUAAUUUACAAUCAGGUGGUAAUACUAGGAACUCAAUCCACACAAAACAAAUUCUUCUCCACAAAUUUAAAGUUUAUAAGCAGCAUAAUGCAGAAAAAAAUGGGGAGUCUAAAGAGCAAACGUCAGGUUUGAAUGUUUGCUCGGCCAUAUAAGAAUAAUACUGGCAACUCUGAGCAAAGUACUGUAGAAAUAUACUUCAUGAAAGUCAUUGAUAUCCUGUGCUUUAAAAUUGAGGUGAAUACUGACCAGUGAAGCCAUAGAGAAAUUAAAUAUUUAGUUACUGAACCUUUCUCUGUCUUCUUUAUGGAUCCACUUGCACCUAAGAUAUCACCAAUAUCAAUAAAUGCCUUCAGUUGCUCAAAUUGGUCCUCCGUAAGGCUGUCUUUCUCACAGUAAAGCUAUCAUAGCCAAAAGAAAAAAAAUGCUCAGAAACACACAAUCAGUGCCAUACAAGUUAUCAUAUUUCUCUAGCUACUAAUAACAAUAAAUUCAAUUAAAACUGCAGAACAUGAUCUACCUCAUUUACAUAGUGGCUGAAUCGUUCGAGAAAAAAGAAUCAUACUGGCAGAAUGAAGAUUAUGUCAUUACCUAAUAGCGUUGGUGCCUAACUCAGCUGCUAUGUAAAAAUGCCUUACAAGUGCAACAAUAUCAGGUAGCAUAUCCACCUGAUAUCAAAUUCUAAGGUGAAAUGGUAACCAUGAUGAAUACAAGAGAAUCCUACACAAGAUCACAUUAUAAAUUACGAGUGUUGAUUGCAAACAUUAAGCUGACUGAAAAAUAAGUUGGCUAACAAAAAUACAAAAUAAGGCAAGUCAGUUUCAAGAACCUACCUGAAUAGUCCCAGUAUCGUCUCUUACAGUCAUGAAAACAAGCUUUCCAAAUGCCCUUCGGGCAACAAUCCUACCGGCAAUGGAGACCGCUGCCUCCUCACAGACUUCACCAUUCUCAAGAUGGGUGUACUCUUCCUGGAGCUCCUUAGUCGUGUGAGUCCUAUCCCACUUGUAAGCAUAUGGCUCAAAACCCUUUCCUCUUAGCUCCUCAACCUAGCAACCAGUCAAACCAACGAUCCCAAGCAUAUCAGUAGCAGCACCGACCAAGAAUUGGGGGGUAACAGAACGCUCGCACCUAACACUGCAGAACUGAAGACGCAUAGCUGAAGACGCACAGCAAGGCAAACCUGACCUUUUUGAGGCGAAUGGCGCGGAUGGAGUCGCGGUCGGAGGUGGAGCUGGAGCUGGAGGCACUACGGCGACGACGGUCCUGAGGCGGCGGCUUCUGGUUCGUGGUGGCGGCAGCCGCAGAGCAGCAGCGGAUGUGGAGUGGCCUCGCGGCGGAGGCGGCGGUGGCGGCGCGGGAGGCCGCGAAUCCGAGGAGAUUGGAGGAGGCCCUCCACGCCCGCAGCGCCUCCAUAAGAAUAAAUGGAUUUGUCUGGUGGCGUCUCCGCUGCUCUUCUCGGUUCGCUGCGCGAGUUGGAGAGGACGGCGGCAGACGACGCAAAAGGAAGAGUUGGAAAGGACGGAGGAGGUGGCCGGCGGCGCGGGAGGAGCAGGUCGUGGCGCGGGAGGGAGGACCAGGCGGCGGUGUCGGCGGCCAGCGGCGUGGUGCGGAGGCGGCGGCGGCGGCGGCGGUGUUGAGAAGAUAAGGCUGACGGGUGGUGUCGUUGAGGGAGCCGGUUUCAGUGACGGCGUAACUUGCGGCCCCAUAUCCGACGUCCAGAAUCCAUCCAACGGUUCCGGCGUAACUUUGAGAUUCUGAUCAAUUUUAUAUAUUUUGUGUAGCAGAAUCAUCUACGAUCAACUUCCCAAAUUAACAUUCGCGUUUUGAUGUCUUUAGAUACAUAAUUUUUCACUAUAAUUUUUUACUAUAGAUCCAGAUAUAUAUUAUAUUUAGAUAUAUAGUUUUUUCGGAGAAAGUAAUUAUUAAUAAGAACUUUUUACCUUAGUCCCGUUGGUGAGGGUUUAUUUCGACUUCGGUUUCACCUGUUUUGCGCAAAACGAGGCACUAUAGCAUAAUGCCGUUUUGUAAGUCGAGGGUAAAAUGAACCAGAAGCUAGAUAAAAUCGUUAUUUUUAACUUCACCGGCUUUAGCUUAGGAGAAGCCCCUCCAAACGGAUCCUUUACAUAUUCACAUCGAAAUAUAAGCACUCAAGAAGAAAUUAACUAUUUUGUGAGGAAGAACAAUUUGAAAAUCUGAACUUUGCAUUAUUCAGGUUCGUGGUGAGUCCAAUUCACUCUUCGAGUCUUUGACUCGACAUGAAUGCUCGUUUUUACAGCUAAUUAUUCUUAGAAUUGUAGCGACAUAUCUGUCGACGGUGAGACAUUUGUGUAACUUCAAUACAAGAUCUACCAGCUACCGGAGGUGUUCGCGAGGGUAAGUCUACCGUGUACGGUGCUGCAUAGCAUGGCCAUCUGUCUCGCUACUGUUUAUAUAAACGAAAAACAAUUCAUUUUAUUUUGCGGGAGAACAAUCGAAAUGACUCGGAUCAUGAGGGGCGCUCUAUACAUCGUGCGGAAGACAGGAAGUCUUUCCGUCGCACGGCCCAUCAGGCCCACGACAGCAUUUCUUCUUCCUCUCAACACCGUUCUUCUUCUCCCUGUAGCACUGCGCCGCCGCAUCUCCCUUCUUCAUCUCCGUCCAGAAGCCCCCGCCGUCUCUACCGCCCCGCCCGGCUCCGGCGGCGCCCUGCCGCCCCCGCAUCUUGCUCUGCCCAACCGGCCUCCACCACCACCGCGGCAGGCGGCGCCCCCACCGCCUCGCCGUCCCGCCCGCCCACCGCCACCACCGCCGGGCCGGCAACCACCCCCACCGCCGGGCCGGCAACCACCUCCACCCAUCCCUUUAUAGCCUCGGGACAUGGAGCAAUCCUAAACCCAACCCAAUCCCUAACCCUAACCGGAAUCCCAACGGGCGGCUCGUCGGCACAGGGGGUGGCGGCUCGUCGGUGCAACGACGGCGAGCGGUGCUGGAGCCCGAGUGUGCGGCGGCAUCAACAGCAUCUGGAGUGCGGCCGUGCGCGGGUAGAGGGGAGGAGAAAGGGUGAGUCUGCGCCAUUGAUGACUUAUCCUCGCACGAAUCUCAAAGUGGAAGAUUGAUAAGUUCCUCCCUCCCGGAAGAUGGAUAGGAUUGCCGGAUCAUGAGAGAACAAAACAAUGUUCGGGCCUAGCCCAGCCCAGUAUAGGUGUACAGGGCUUAGCAUCAUCAUCUCGUCGCCUGAUUUGUGAUGGUGGUGCUUCCCACCGGGCCGGUCCAUUCGCAAGCAGGCCGUGUCCUCUCCAUGGACGAUUUGCCCGCUUCUAUUUGUCGUCUGUCAGUGAUCCCACUCCGGCCAUAUCACACGCGUGCAGCUAACUGCCAACUCUGGCACAUGCGUGCUUUGAAUGCACAUGUACAGGACAAGUACUACAUGUAGUCAGUCUCGUAGUUUGUCUCAUGCAAAGUCACGUAUAAUUUUUGCUGAUGUGAAGAAGAGAGACAAAGAAGAGAGAGAAAAGUUGUUGUCUCGAGAAAAAACAGGCUCAUUGACAAAGUUUUCGCUUGAUGGGACAACCUGACUGCUGGAUAUAUAAGCACUUUUAGUUUUAAUUUAAUCCAGAAAUAAAUCAUGAAUACGAUCAACAGAUAGUAGAUUAAACUAGACAUGUCUACGCAAGAUCUAGACAAGUCUAUCAUUGCAAAUAGAAUCAUAUAUUCUACCAUACUAUCCAGUGCUAUCAGACUGCAACAGAUCAUAAUAGCUAGUAUGGAAGAUAUAAUUUGAGAUAAGAGAUCGUACGUUUCUUUCUUGAUGAAGACCGGCUCCUGGACGACUACCGAGUACAGCAGGUGACGACGAUCAGCAGCCUGACGUUGUUCGCGACGAUGAGUGACGCCCGAGCAACGAAGAGGUAGACGAGCCGUGGUGAAGGAGUCGACGAAGAACUUGACGAAGCGGAGGAAGCGAUCGAGCAGUCGCGCAGAGCGCUUCCCAAAAACCUUAUUCGCCCUCUCCCGGUGUAGGAUCGCUGAAGACGACGGUUCCGGAGACCUGCUCUCCCAAUCUCCAGUGCACGCCGACAAUCGGGAUGGAGUAGACUACGGUGGCGGCGCAGCAGCGAGAGUAGGCAAAAACCUAACUAGUACAGACCACCUUAGGGAUACCCUAACCUAGGGUCCUUCCCGUAUAGUAGUCUAUAUUGCAUCUUUUUCAUGAGGGAGGUGGUCCAUAUAUAUAGGGAGGAAAAGCCCCAACACCCUCAUCUAUUAGCAAUAUGAGACUAAUAGAUGGUGUACCUCCUCUUUACGCUAAUGGGCCUUUGAGAUUUAUUCAAAAUUAUCAUUUAUAUGGGCCAAGCCCAUAUAUCUAACAAUCCCCCACCAGAUCUCAAAUAUCCAUUUAGGUGUUUUGCACAUUUCUCACUACUGUUUGAUAUACCAGUAUUUCAGCAAGGACUGUUAAGUUGAACUCUCGCCUAGAGCUUCAAGCUACAUUCAUCCACAACUUGAACAAUGGACUAAGCCUUGAAUUGCAAGUUUUGUGCGGACAAGUUUCACUCAAAGUCGCAACUAGUACCUGGCUGCCAGUAGCCUACCACGCGGGUGGAGCAUAUACGUCAUACUGCCUGGUCUCUUCAUGAGCUUACUAGAGAUCACCCAAGUCUCACAGACUGCGACCUUACAACAGUCGGGCUCAUAUAGGUAUAUUUUUCCAAGAUGUUCUGCAGGGCAACAUCUUUGCUAAUUAAAGCCAACAAAAUAUAUUAAGGCAGUAGCCACCCUGCCAUGCAGUGGUUUGAGAGUGUUGCAUCAUUUCUCGAGUGGGUUAGUAGGAUACUCUCAUGCUAUCCAAUGGCUUGUUCUUCCCAGAUCCUACUUCAUGGGAUCUCUGAUCACAUAGGUUGGGUUACCACCAUGGUGUAGCUCAUAUGGGUCUCAUACCCAUCUUCUUUGAUGCACUGUCUAUCACAUUACGUGACAGCCCCUUAGUGAACUGAUCUGCCAAGUUGUUAUCAGUUAAGAUGUAAUCCACUGAUAUUACUCCGAAGUUUCUCAUUUUCCUGACAGAUUUCAGACGUCUCUUAACGUGUCUUGAUAACUUCAUAUUGUCCUUAGAAUUGUUCCCCUUUGACUAUCACCGUUUAAUUGUCACAAUUCAUAAGUAUUGUCGGCAUAGGUUUCUCGACAAUAGGCAAGUCCAUCAAGAGUUCACGUAGCCAAUCAGCCUUAACUGUGGCUGUAUCUAAUGCUGCAAGUUUUGCUUCCAUGGUAGACCUCGUCAAGAUAGUCUGUUUGGAUGACCUCCAUGAAACAGCAUCACCACCAAGAGUGAAGACGUAUCCACUUGUGGCAUACAGUUCAUCAGCAUCAGAUAUCCAAUUUGAAUCACUAUAGCCUUCCAGCACCGCAGGAUACCCGGAGUAGUGAAUUCCGUAAUCCAUAGUACCAACUAAAUAGCGCAUGACUCGCUCAAGCGCACGCCAAUGAUCAUCUCCCGGAUUAGAGGUAAAGCGGCUCAGUUUGCAAACAGCAUAUGAGAUGUCAAGCCUAGUAGCACUGGCUAAAUACAUAAGUGAUCCAAUAAUCUGAGAGUAUCUUAAUUGAUCUCUACCAAUUCUCUUGUUUUUCCGAAGUAUCAAGCUCGGAUCAUAAGGUGUGGGAGAAGGCUUACUGUCCUUGAAGCCAAACCGGCUCAAGACCUUUUCCACAUAAUGAGAUUGCGUGAGAGUAAUCCCAUUCUCUCCUUUGAUCAACUUGAUAUUCAGAAUUACAUCAGCCUCUCCUAGAUCUUUCAUGUUAAAAUUUUGGCACAAAAAUGACUUGACCUUUUUAAUCACGUCAAGAUUUAUACCAAAGAUCAGUAUGUCAUCGACAUACAAGCACAAUAUAACUCCCUCACCCCCACCAUGGUGGUAGUACACACAUCUAUCAGACUCAUUGACAGAAAAGCCUGCUGAUAUGAGUGUAGUAUCAAAUUUCUCAUGCCACUGCUUAGGUGCUUGUUUCAGGCCAUACAAAGAUUUCAGCAAUUUACACACCUUGUUCUCUUGACCCUUUAUUACAAACCCAUCAAGCUGAUUCAUAUAAAUUUCCUCAUCCAACUCUCCAUUAAGGAAAGCUGUCUUAACAUCCAUCUGAUGGACGAGAAGACCAUGCGAGGCAGCAAGGGAAAGUAAUACUUGAAUACUGGUCAAUCUCACAACAGGUGAGUAAGUGUCGAAGAAAUCUUCGCCUUCUUUCUGGGAAUAACCCUUAGCCACAAGUCGAGCCUUGUACUUAUCAAUAGUACUAUCAGGCCUAAGCUUAUUUUUGAACACCCACUUGCAACCCACAGGUUUACAACCAUGCGGUCGAUCAACAACCUCCCAAGUUCCAUUAGAAAGAAUAGAGUCCAUCUCACUAUGGAUAGCUUCUUUCCAGUCAUCUGCAUCUGGAGAUGCAAAUGCCUCUGAAAUAGUCUUAGGAGUAUCGUCUACGAGAUAGACAGUGAAAUCAUCACCAAAGGACUUUGCAGUUUUUUGUCUCUUGCUCCUCUUAGGAGCUUCACUGUUAACCUCCUCAUGAACUGGCUCAAGUGUUUGUUCAGCAUGAUCAGGAAGCACAAUAGGUUCAGGAGUUGUCUCAGCAAUCAUAUCAGAAGAUAGUCUAGACAUACUAUGCAAUUGUUUCAUAGGAAAUAUAUUCUCAAAGAAAGUAACAUCACGAGACUCCAUCAAGGUAUUAACAUGAACAUCAGGCACCUCUGAUUUAACCACUAAAAAUCUAUAGGCUAUGCUAUGAUGAGCAUAUCCCAAAAAGACACAAUCCACAGUUUUAGGUCCCAACUUACGUUUCUUGUUGAUUGGCACACUAACUUUGGCCAAGCAACCCAAGUGCGUAAGUAUGAAAGUGAUGGUUUUCUUCCAAUCCAUUCUUCAUUGGGAGUUUUCUCCUUAUUCUUCAUGGGUACUUUAUUCAAGACAUGACAUUAAGUCAAUACAGCCUCCCCCCACCAUGCCUUAGAUAAUCCAUUGGUGUCUAACAUGGCGUUCACCAAGUCAGUCAAGGUGCGAUUCUUUCUUUCGGCAACCCCGUUUGAUUGGGGCGAAUAGGGAGAUGUCCUCUCAUGUAUAAUACCAUGUUCUUCACAGAACAAGUCGAAAUCAUUAGAGAAAUACUCACCACCACGAUCAGACCUAAUUCUCUUGAUCUUUUUCUCAAGUUGAUUCUCAACUUCAGCCUUAUAGAUUUUAAAGUAGUUAAGAGACUCAUCUUUCAUUUUCAAUAAAUAUACAUAGCAAUAUCUAGACGCAUCAUCUAUCAAAGUCAUGAAAUAUCUUUUUCCACCUUUGGUCAACACACCAUUCAUCUCGCAUAUAUCAGAAUGAAUUAGUUCAAGUGGUGCCAAGUGUCUCUCCUUGGCCACCUUCUGAGGUUUUCGAGGUUGCUUAGAUUGCACACAACUAUGGCACUUAGAACCUUUGACAAUGGAAAAAUUCGGAAUUAAACACAGACUGGAAAGUCGAGACAUAGAACCAAAAUUCAGAUGACAUAAACGUGAAUGCCAAACACUAACAUCACUCUCAUUAAUACCAUCACAAAUAUAGUUCACAGACUUAUUGCAAUAACCUGAUAAGGAAAAGCGGAACAAGCCUCCACACUCAUAGCCUUUACCAAUAAAUUGUCCACUCUUAGACACGACAAUUUUAUUAGACUCAAGCACUACCUUAAAACCAUCCCUACACAAAAGGGAGCCACUAACUAGAUUCUUCCUGAUAGAAGGGACAUGCUGCAUGUUCUUCAGUUCCACGAUCUUUCCCGAAGUAAACUUCAGAUCUACCGUACCAAUACCAUGAAUAGAAGCAUGUGACCAUUCCCCAUUAGGACGAAGGAAUCCCGAGCGACCUGGUAAGAUGAAAACAAGGAGGCAUCAGCACACACAUGAACAUUAGCACCAGUAUCAAGCCACCAAGUAUUAGUAGACUGAAACACUGAAAAAACAGAAGGUAAAUUACCAUACCCACUAUUUCCGUCUCCAGCGCUGGUUACCAUGCUCACAGACUUCUGCUGUGGAGGUUUUCUUCCUUUGCGAUUUGGGCACUUCUUUGCCCAAUGGUCAGUAGAACCGCACACGAAGCAUCCCUCGUUCUCCUUGUUCUUCUUCUUCUUGAAGGUAGUGGACUGCUUAGGCUUAUUGUUCUUGCCCUUGCCCUUGCCACCAUUGCCAUUGUGAUGUGAUUGGUGCACCAUAUUGGCACUGGUCUGACCCUCAAAAGCUUUAGAUCGUCCAUCUUUAGCCCGAUCUUUCUCCUCAACAUCAAGAGACGCAAUCAAUUCUAAAACAGAAAUUUUUGUCCUCUUGUGUUUGAGAGAAGUAGCGAAAUCCCUCCAGGAUGGAGGUAACUUGAAAAUAAUGCCCCCAGCCACAAACUUGUCGGACACGACAAUCUUUAGCAGAUCGAGUUCCUUUACCAUGCACUAUAAUUUAUGAGCCUGAGCGACUACAGAUUUUUCAUCAACCAUCUUGUAGUCAUGAUACUGCUUAAUGAUGUACAGUUCAGUGCCAAAAUCUGAGCCACCGUAGUUGGCAGUCAGAUCGUCCCACAACUUCUUUAUGACCAUGUGAUGAAGGUACACAUCCUGCAGAUGUUCUGCAAGUGCACCAAUCACAGCGCCCAAGAAGAUUGUGUUGGCUUCCGAAUAUUCUUUCUCCUUUUCAGGAGAGAGAACCCCUUUCGGCUUGCCAUUGGACACCCAGAACACCUUCAUGGCAGUAAGCCACAGUGUGGCUUUCACCUGCCACCUCUUAAAGUGCACGCCAGCAAACGGUGCUGGCCUCAGUGCAUCAAGAAAUCCAGCCAUAAAACUAAAGUACCUACAAUAAGGUUUUUGGAUUGUUGGAUAUAUAAGUACUUUUAGUUUUAAUUUAAUCCAGAAAUAAAUCAUGAAUACGAUGAACAGAUAGUAGAUUAAACUAGACAUGUCUACUCAAGAUCUAGACAAGUCUAUCAUUGCAAAUAGAAUCACACAUUCUACCAUACUAUCCAGUGCUAUCAGACUGCAACAGAUCAUAAUAGCUAGUAUGGAAGACAUAAUUUGAGAUAAGAGAUCGUACGUUUCUUUCUUGAUGAAGACCGGCUCCUAGACGACUACCGGGUACAGCAAGCGACGACGAUCAACAACCUGACGUUGUUCGCGACGAUGAGUGACGCCCGAGCGACGAAGAGGUAGACGAGCCGUGGUGAAGGAGUCGACGAAGAACUUGACGAAGCGGAGGAAGCGAUCGAGCAGUCGCGCAGAGUGCUUCCCAAAAACCUUAUUCGCCCUCUCCCGGUGUAGGAUCGCUGAAGACGACGGUUCCGAAGACCUACUCUCCCAAUCGCCGGUGCACGCCGACAAUCGGGAUGGAGUAGACUACGGUGGCGGCGCAGCAGCAAGAGGAGGCAAAAACCUAACUAGUACAGACCACCUUAGGGAUACCCUAACCUGGGGGCCUUCCCGUAUAGUAGUCUAUAUUGCAUCUUUUUCAUAAGGGAGGUGGUCCAUAUAUAUAGGGAGGAAAAGCCCCAACACCCUCAUCUAUUAGAAAUAUGAGACUAAUAGAUGGUGUACCCCCUCUUUACGCUAAUGGGCCUUUGAGAUUUAUUCAGAAUUAUCAUUUAUAUGGGCUGAGCCCAUAUAUCUAACACUGACCACCGUUGUACGCCGCGUCGUUGCAAGGGAAGUCGAUUUUUUCUCCUUGUCGGAUCUCCUGCGCAGUUUCCUCUUCUCCGCGCUAAGCCUUCUUCCCUCCACGCGCAAAAUCGAUUUUGUAGCGUGAAGCUGCGUGCCAUUUUUUCUAUUGUUCAUUCUUGGCUUAUCAUCUGCCGCCUCUCCCUGACAUAUAAAAAGAAUCAUCUGAAUCUCCUCCUUUGCUCUCAACCCACGUCAUCCCUCUCCGGCUCUCUGACGCCCUAGGCCAUGAUGGCGCUGAUGGUGACCGGUGAGGUAUGAUGCCGUCGAUGCCUGCUGCUCCAAAUGGUGCACGUCCCGACAGUCGAACCCAGCACACCCCUCGUCGUCCCUGCCCACGAGCAUGGCUCUUUAAGCAAAGAGGGCUGCAGCACCCCAGGGGGCAUCUCCAUCACCGGCACAAGCAUCGAAGGCAACUCCAGAUUCAAUCGCCACUAACCCUACAUGGUUGUCCAUGCCUCCUGCCUUUGUACCCAACUGUUCUUCCCCAAUGGUCAACUCAGAUCUGAAUGCCACUUACGCUGAACUAGGUUCUCACCCACCUGGUGGUUUCCUAAGUUACUUUCAACCAUCAGACUACUCUCAUCCUAAAGAAGUUCGACGUGAGACACCCAUGUCACCUAAUUUUGUUUAUGCUAGUGGCCCUACUCCAUAUGCUCCAUUCCAGGCACCACAACCAUGGAUGGCUGAAGGUUGGACAUCGCAAUCAGCCCCCAAACAAGUCACUACACAUUCAUCACUUGGCUCACAAGCUGCUCCUGUUGUCGAUGUUGAAAACAUUGAUGAUAAUGGAGUCAAUCCAAGCACGUUAUCGAAAAAAGAUGCUGGUGGAAGUAGAACUGGGAGGAGGAUGAUAUGGACAUCUGAUGAGACCAUGAGAUUGGUAAAUUAUCUUUAUGCUUCCAUUUAGUUCUAUAAUUAAAUCUCUAAAUUAUUAUCCAAUAUUCUUAAUGUUUCCACAUUAUCUAAGUUUCUAUAUAUACAAUGCAGAUCAGUGCUUGGUUGAAAAACUCAAAUGAUCUAAUUAAAGGGAACCGGAAGAGAAAUGAUCAAUACUGGGGAGCACUAACUAGCAUGUUUAAUAGCACGACCCCAAGUGAUCGUAUUAGAGAAGUUAAGCAAUUGAAAGAACAAUGGCAUCGUGUGAACAGAACUGCAAAUGCCUUUCAAGGUUCUUGGAUGAAAGUACAACGUCUUCGUGCCAGUGGAGAGUCUGAUGAGCAGGUAAUGGACAAAGCCAUAGCUUUUUAUGAAGAGGAUUUCGAAGAAGGUCAAUUCAAACUCAUAGCUUGUUGGAAGGCUCUUCGAGAUCAACCAAAGUGGCAUGCCUACAAUGAGGAUCUUAAUGAAUCUAACAAAAGAAAGAAUUCUGAGUCAGAGGCUGUGGACCUGACAUCAUCUCCUGAUGUUCUCAAUGAUCUGCCGCGUCCAGUAGGGUGUAAGAAAGCUAAAGAUGAAAGCAAAGGGAAAGGAAAGGGGAAGGGUUCAUCAUCAACUUUGGAUGAGAUUGAAAAGUUGAGAGAAGGUCAAGCCAAAUCUAAGGAAGAUCGCAUUGAGGUGCUGGAGAGACACCAACAAAUUGCCGCGGACAAGAAGGAAUCAGCAAGACUGAACCACCUUGCAGCACGAGAGAAGAAGGAGGCAAAAUUACUUGAAAAGGAAGGGAAACUGCGUGAUAAAGAAUCCAAAUUGCUGGAAACAUAUAAAUCACUUCUUACUUUUGACACAAGGCAUAUGCCUGAGGACUUGAAAGCUGAGCAUAUGAUUGCUGCGAAGAGUACGAGGGAGAGGAUUUUUGCUAAUUUUGCUUCGUGAUAGGAGGUAUGUUUUCUUUUUCGAACUGAAAUUUAUGACUAAGAAACCAAUUUGCUUGAAAUCUCAUGUAAGCAGGUCUUCUUUUUUUCAGGUUGUUUGAGAGGAUGGUCCAGCAUUGCUAGUGCCUUGGAGGGCUUGUUUUACUUUUUUCUGGUACUAGUUAAAAAUAAAGCUGCACAUUUAGGUAGCCUCGUAUAAGGUUAGGUUACUGUUGCAGCUACGAGCUUACAUAUGUUUUGUUUUAUCACUCGGGCCAUUGGAUAUUUUUUUUAAAAAAUUAUUUGCUAUCGACAAUUCAAUUGUUUUGGUUCAGAGUACUAGUCUGAUUGGCCUAGGAGCAACAUUAUUUGUUAGUCAAGUCCAAGUCGGACUACCGUGCCUUGUGCACUUACGUCAGGUCCAAGUUGAGUCAGGAUUGAUUGCCGGCUUUGGACUCUAGCAUACGCGUUGGAUUUUCACUUUGCAAUACAACUUUAGCAUCCGAGUCGAUUAAGCUCUGUAUAAUUUACGGCUGCUGCGACGUAUUAUUCACAUAAUCCGGUGCAACGAACAAAAGCACAAAGUGCAGCCGUAAGACUAGUCAUAAUCCAGUAUGUCGCAUCAAUCAAGUUCAUCUAGCUCCUCCAACUAUUCUGAUGAGUCGCUUGAGUCGUUGGACUUAGACGAUGACUACAAAGAUUUUAUGGGCGAGCAAGAAGCUUUUGACUCUAUCGCCGAAGCUUUUGAGUCAAAAUUGAAGUCACAACAUGAAGCAGAAACUAUCGAAGAAGCAGCACUAGGAUAUACAUAUUGAGGGAUCGAGAACAUGCCCACGAAGAGCUUGUGUCCCAAUAUUUCUCAGAGGAUCCCAUCUACACCGACUUCAUGUUCCGCACAAGGUUUCGGAUGAAAAGGCUGCUCUUUCUACGAAUCGGCGAUGCCCUACGUAAGUGGUCUUAAUAUUUCACUCAACGGACAGAUGCCAGUAAUCGAAAAGGACUUUCACCAUUGAUCAAAUGUACGGCCGCAAUGCGUAUGUUAGCAUAUGGCACCCCGCAGACUCGCUUGAUGAGAACCUAAAUAAAUUAAGCUGCACGUUAGUUGCCUGUUGAUUGAACAGCUCUAAAUAAAUUAACGCUAUUGUACCAGCAUAUUCUGCGCGUCUCAUAUCUGCAGGGACAAAAUCGAUCUCCUCGAUCGAACCAUCCAAAACCUAACAAAAGAAAAAGAGAGAGAUCAAAUUAGUGCUAGACAGGGAGAUCAAUAGACAAAAUUAGAGGAGGGAUAAACAAAGAAUUUAAGCUCAAUACAGCCGCUUAGCAGCUAGCCGAAUCAAAAUGUUUCCCUGUGAAUGCGAGGCGACGACGAUGAUGAGCAGAGAUAACAACGCCAGUGCUGGCGUCAUCAUCUCUGCAGGGCCCCAGAAGCGGAAGAACAGGUGGAAAUGGCAUUAUACUUGGCGGAUCGACUAAUCUAUAAUGAAGCAGCAGGUGCAUUCUUAUUAAGCCAGUCAUUGUUUCAAUGUACAUUUAUUAAGAUUGGAAAUUAAGCCAGUCAUUGUUUCAUUGUACAGUUAUUAAGAUAGGAAAUUAGGUAACUCUACCAGUUGAGUUUCAUCCUCUCACAUAUGAUGAAACUCCUCCUUCUCUCUCCUCAUAAAUAGCUUGCCAAGUCAGCAAAAUUGAUGAUGAAAUAUAAAAAUUAAUGCUAAUGAAACUCUUCAUAAAACUCACACUAAGACCGGCCUUACUUACUUACUAGGGCCUAGUAAUCAGGUUAAAAUAGUUUCCACGGAUCGAUUGAUUGGCCCGUUUCUUCCGCGCACAUUUCACCUAGAAAUUAGAACUGGUGGCCACCUAGGUACAAGACUGCUCGUGUAGUCGCGUGGCACACAAAACUGAUUGGGAUGGCCGGCCAUCUCGUUAUCGAAGCACGGGUCCCGCUCGCGGAUCCGAUGGAUCCGGCGCAAGAACGAACAACGCUUCCGGCCGGCGUGGCUCGAAUUCGCCCCGCACACCGAUCUUUGACGUUUUCGAUGUUUUGGUGUGUGAUGUGAGGUUCAGGCGCUGAUGAUCCAAUGAAUGAUAUAUAUGCUUCCUGCAGCAGUAUUGCUCAUCGGAAAAGGAGAUGCUGCAGACGGCUUGUGUUGUGUCCGAUCCUCGAGCAAUCUCGCUCAGCAGAAGCGGCCGCCAGGAGAGGCGCAGCGUCGAACUCCGGAAGCAGGUUGGCGUCUCUUUCGUGCAUGACGGGACGGCUGGUGCUUCGCCAUCCUCUCCUCUCCAUCCAUCGCUACAGUAGUAUGCGUCGAUCGCUAUAUAUAGCUAGCUAGCAGUACUGGUGACUGGAACGGUGCCGGCCCGAUUCCCGCCCAACCCACCAGCAGCCCAAGCCAUCAGCCAAUGGCAACACCACUGCCAGGGCCCAGCAGGAGCACAGAAAGCUAGUGUGAUCCGGCACGGUGGUGCGACGGGCAAGGGCGGCGCUCGAUUCGUAUGGCAAGACGCACAGGGGAGGCCGCCGGUGGAGCUGCUGGCCGGAGCGGCGGCGAAGACUUGGACGCAUGUGUCACUGUUGUGCGGGAACGCCGGAUCGGGUGGGCGCGAUACCGGCCGGCGGGGCCAGCCCCCCGGCCGUCGCGUUCGGGAUUCCUACCUAACCAACCGUCCACAUCUGCGGUGACCGACCUUACCACGUCGGCGACGACUGACCUGACCGCCUCCCCCAGCCGGAGCAGCUAGCGCCUCUCACCGCCGGCGAGGGGCCCGGCCCAACCAACUCACAUCGCCCUGAGUCCCUGACCCGACCCAACCCCUCCAUCGAGCUGAGCCCGACCCAUGUUUCCAACGAGCCGGACCGAUCUUGUUGUCGAUCCACUGUGCCACCUUGUGGUCCAAUCCUGGAUAAAUACACAACGUGACGGGUCGAUUUGGACGCAUCAAAGUGUCAAGUUCUCAUAUUGAAUUAAUCAAAUUACAAGUUCUUCACCCUACUUCUUGUAUCUCAGAUGUAAUUUACUCUUCAAUAAAUUUAGUGUUCGAAAACCACGCAUAUAUUGAAGCGAAGGUACUAACUAUACAUGUACAAGUGAGACAGUAUAUCAUUUUAAAAAGAUUAAAAAAGCGAUUCCGUGUAAAGGUAACAAAAUUAACUAGCACGUUCUAUUGAAAUAAAACAUUUGAAAUAAAGUAAAAAAAUACCAUGAACACAUUUUUCAUGAUAAAUUUAGUAGCAUCCAGCUUGCAUUAUUGCUAACCUACAUAUUUUUUAUAUCGAUGGUUGAAAUUAAAAAAGUUUGAUCAGCAGUGUCCGAAAAAGCAGACGUACUAAUCAUACAUGGAGAGGAAAGUCCAACAGUAUAUCAUUUCCAAAAAAAAUUAAAAAUUGUUACAUUUAGACUAAUCCCAAUGACUUGUAUCAUAGGACUACUCACUAAUAAGGUGCCACACGGGAUAUAUGUUCUGAUAACGUGGCAGGGCAUUUAAUAGGAAAAAGAUGGAAACUAUAUCUACGAUAUAGCUUUGGCAUAAUAUUAUGGCAUAAAAUCUAACGAUAUGGCCCACUCUUAUAGACAGAACCUCACAACAACAAAUUACUUUGAUACUGGAGUACAAUACUACACACUUAUGAGGGUGUAUCUUUCUAAUAAGUAUCAUAUACUUCUCAUCCCUAUAUGGUAUUAUUGGAUAUUGGAGUAUGAUAUUGUGGAUUAUGAUGAACCAGAUACUCCAAAAUAGGCCUACCUACUCUUUGUCUUUGCCCUUCUCAGCAGCAUUUACUCCAAAAUAGCCAGCCGGUGCCCCUGCCUUUACUCGCACAGUUGCAGCAGUAGUACAUCCAUCCACCAGAGACAGGGAGAGAGAAGCCUAUAUAUAACGCCCAAUCCUGUUAGCUGCAGAGAGAGCCUCUACCCUCCCCUGCUAGUGCUGGCAGCCGCUGGUUUGGCUGCUUCCAUUGCAUCUCCGCACAUCUCCAGCCUAGGUAGCUACCAUCAAUGGGGAAGGCGGUGCUGAGCAAGAGCUGGCAGGAGUCGAAGCUGCUGUGGCACAUCGCGUUCCCGGCCAUCCUCACCGCCGUCUUCCAGUUCUCCAUCGGCUUCGUCACCGUCGGCUUCGUCGGCCACAUCGGCUCCGUCGAGCUCGCCGCCGUCACCGUCGUCGAGAACGUCAUCGAGGGCUUCGCCUACGGCGUCCUGGUAAUUGUUAAUCUAUCGAAUUCUCCCCCUUAUCAUUAUGCACGCCAACUAAUUAACAAGUAUACUUACUGGCUGCCUCUCAUAAUAAGGCGACGAUCUGACCACAUGCAUCACUGCAUAUACAUAGUAAUACACGAUAGCUCUGUAUUGUAUAUGCAACGCUGAACAAACUAUAGCUGCAUGGAACGUAGCGUCUGCGCGUUCUUAUCAUCUCGAUUAAAAUCUUGGAAAGUAAUAAACUUUUCAUUAUCGAAAAAAAAUUCUUCCCACUUGGCAUAUAUUCCCGUUGUCUUUCAUCACAUAUAUACCAUUUUCAAGUGAAAAAAAAUUCUGUUUUUUCUUUCUUUAGAAUUAGGAUACACAAUUAUGGUCGGAUUAAGACAAUGAUAUAUCCGGGUAAAGUAAAUAUAUGCUAAUCCAGGAAUUGCUGGCGGGGUGCAGUGGUUUGCACGUCUCCAUCGCCCGUUCUCACGUAUCUGCAAUUUGUUCGGUUCCUUGUCAUGGAGGGUGCAACGAGAGGACAAGGUUUUCUGGGGGAGGAACACAUGCGCGCACAGCUAAAGAAACGCUCGAAUUGAUUCGUAAACUAACGCUGCCUCGCGAACCUUCAUGUGCUCGAAUAUAUGCUUUAUGAAACAGAAUCAAGAAACGCCAGCAGCUAGCUAAUGCGAGUGAGUGCUUUAGUUUUCACGAGCCUGCUUGUCCUGUGAUAAUUUUGGCCGUGCAUGCGUGUAGCUGGCGGUGAUCCCACGCACUUCGAAUGGAGAAAAAAUAACCAUGGACAAUCUUUUCCGGUUGUUUUGUCAAAUAAAAGGCAGUGCGAUCGAACUUUUAUUGUUGGGACGAAAGCGACUAGGAUCACAUGCGUAUAGUAUGCACAAAAAGGAGAAAGCGGAUUGCAUGUACAUUGUGUGGCAGAUGGAACACCAAGUAAACGUUUUUAAAGGUAAAAAACGAACGCCAUGUGUAAACCUAACCACUAGCUAACGAUGACCCGAGCACGGACCUACAUUGGUAGCAAGUCUCGUAGUGAUGAAUCGGGUGGGGUGACCGAUUCGAUGGCCGACAUUGCACCGCCUGUAAAAGCAAUCAGGCCAAGAUGAUGCACGAUAAAGCUGGAAAAAGGAAGCAACAACACAACGGGGAGAUUGCGUCUCACCCAAAGUACCCCUAUCUAGACCUGCCAAGCUCCACACUCCCCGGAAGUUGGUGGAAGCAACACACGCAUGGCAUGUACACCUGUUCGAGACUAGAACACAAACCGUGCAUCUAGACAGAUUAUUAGCACCGAAAUCACGCAUGUUUUGUGCGGCAGCGCGGCGCUCUAAGUGUCCUCCGAUCCGUCGUGCAACCACGAACUCAUCAUCAUCGGUGCACGGGUCUUGUGGCUCCUUUUCCGUGUCUAGGUGGUCAAACUUGCGUGCACAAAAUGUGGCGCGAAACAAGCUGCCUUCUGGCUGGUUGCGGCGUCUCAUCUCUGGUGUGUGGCAGCGGCACCAUCUGGGGAAAGGCCAAACUCGUGUGUUGACCAGCAAGCAAUCGGCCGAUCGAUGGCGACGACACGUCGGGAGAGACGCGCGCCAUCUGCCGGCGGUCGUUUUCGAAUCGGUAGGUGACGCCGUGCCGAAGGAUGAGGGAAAGUAGCUGGACCCGAUGAGAACUAAGAGAUCUCUCUGUCUCUCUCUCGAUCGUCACCUUCUUCCCAGCUACUGACAACCAAGUAAGCCCUGUGUGAAGCUUUCCUGCCGCGCAACAAUGCAGUACGGGACUCGGGAGCAAGGCAGCGCAUUUCUCUUUUCUCGUUUUCUUUUCCCGUCUCAUUUCCUUGACCUUGUCCACACGCUAAUUAAACAUAGUACAUCUCGUCCAAUAUGCUUACACACUGUUACACGAAUGCGUUCUUUGCUCUCUAAUUCUUCCUUUUUAAUAUUAGAGGCACAAAAAUUGUUCCUAGUUUACCUGAUUCGAGAAGUACAUCUACCACUAUGUCGUAUACGGUCACGAGCGCCGCCAAUAGAUUAUUAUGCUAUCCUCUCUGGUUACCAAACAGACGUGGACAUGGUCUUCAAAAUAGAUUUUCCCCCCUUUUGGUUUGGAUUAUUCGAUAUUAUAUGUUUCGGACCUCUUGUCAUUAUAAUAUUACUAGUCCAUCAACCCGUGCUCCCGCACAGGCUACUAUUUUUAAAAUCUAUUGUAUUUGAAAAUUAUUUAGAAAUUAAACUCCUAGCUAUUAAUCAAAAUUAUUUACCUACUACUCUCUCAUGUUUUCAAUACUUCAACAUAAUACUCAUAUAGAUGUAUACUUAUCUUUGUCCAGUUAUGAUUGAUUUUUAAUUAUCCACAUUCACAUUUUUUUCAUAUUGUAUCGCAACUCCAUGCAUUGUGUUUAGCAUAAAAAUAUAUUUUUCAUCACCUUUUCACAUAUACAGGUAUAAAUAGCCUAUAUGGUGACAUUCAUCAUGCGUAUAUACCUUAACUUAGUAUUUCUAUAUUAACAAUAACAUAAAUAGGUAAUUUGGAAUCAUAUAUUAGCUUAAUUUUGGAUAUUUUUGUAUGAUGCGAUGAUAAUUAGAUUAAGAUUUAGGUGUUUACUUUAUGUUAUUUUUAAUUACAACAUAAGUGGGUAACUUAGAUACAAAUUUAGAAUGAUAUUUUAAGUUAUGCUUUAUAAUGAUAUGUAUGAGUAAAUUGGAUGAAGAUUGUAACGUUACUUUAGAUUAUUUUUUAUAAUAGUAAUGAUCGGUAAUUUAGAUAUAGGUUUAGGGUUUAUUUUAGAAUAUUUUGAUAAUAAUAGUGGUGGGUAAUGUUUUAGAAAAUAUAAUAGACCAAUGACUAUGAUUGUUAGAGUUUACGUGAUUGAUGUUUGAUGUUUUGAUUUUUACGAGAAUUUCUAGGAUUUGUAGGUUUUUUCUAGUGUGUCUCGUGAUAACCAAUAUGGAGUCUCCAAUGGAAAAAAAAAUAAGGUCACAUUGCUACAAAACUAUUACUUUAAACUACCUCUCAUUUGUUAAAUGUUCGAACAUAAUAAUUAUAUAGAUAUAUACUUAUUACCUUCAUUUGAUUGUGAUAUAUUUCAUUAGUAAUUACUCUACAAUGUUUUCAUCCACAUUUACAAUCCUUACCUUUUCACUUUUCACUUUGCAUUGCAGAUUUGUGAUUGAAUUUAUUUAAUACAUCCUAAAUUUGAGCUAUAAUUUUAACAUAGAAAUCUAUAUUCUCAUCGCAUCCUUUAUAUAUUUAUAAAUGGUGACAUACAUCAUGCGUAUGUAACUUAAUUAUUAUAUCAUAUACCAAUAGUGUAAGAAAUAUAUGAUUUAGAAUCACAUAUUAGUGUAUAUUGUUAAUUAAGUGUAUAUUGUUAAUUAAGGUGAUUUGGAUUCAAAUUUAGGGCUACCUCAUGUUAUUUUUAAUAAUGGUAUAUGUGGGUAAUAUAGAUGCAAAUUUUAGAGAUUACGUUUAUGUUAUUUUUAAAGUAUUAGUGGUGGACAAUUUAGUUGCAAAUUUAGGGGGUUAUUUUAAAUAAUUUUUAUAAUGGCAUCAGUGGGUAAUUUUGAUGAAGAUUAGGGGUUACUUUAGGCUAUUUUCAUAAUGGCAUAGGUGGGUAAUUUUUUUAAAAACAGAUCAAAUGGUCAUGAUGAUUUAAUUAUACUUAUUGAUGACCAGAUGUUUUGCUUUUUUUGAGAAUUUAUAGGAUUUCUCUAUUUUUCUACUUUUUUAAGAAUUUAUAUAAUUUCACUAUUUUUCUAGAGUGUCCAUUUAGGAUCAUAGGUGGCUUCAUCGAGAUCAGUAAUAGUAAGAUUUUGCGAUAGAAGUUGCAUGAACAAAUUUGCACGAACCAUAAAGUAGGUGCGAAAAUACUGAAACUUCACUUGAUUUGUUAUCCUACAAUGGCCGGAUGACUUCGAUUUAUGACCGCUAAGGUUUGAUCGAUCGGAUGACUUCGAUUUAUGCUCGCUAAGGUUUAAUAAUCGGAUUAACAAAUCUUGCGGAUUCGAAGGUUGAACUCUAUUUCCCGCCGGCUGACCGACGACGCUGUGUGUUGAUCAUCCAUGGCACGCAUGCAGCUCGGCAUGGGCAGCGCGCUGGAGACGCUGUGCGGGCAGGCGGUGGGCGCCGGUCAGGUGGACAUGCUGGGCGUCUACAUCCAGCGCUCCUGGCUCAUCUGCGGCGCCACCGCGGUGGUCCUCACCCCGGCGUACCUCUUCACGGGCCCCAUCCUCCGCGCGCUCCGGCAGCCCGACGACAUCGCCGCUGUCGCCGGGACCUACUGCCGCUGGGUGGUCCCGCAGCUCUUCGCCUAUGCCGCCAACUUCCCGCUGCAGAAGUUCUUCCAGUCGCAGAGCCGGGUGUGGGUCGUCACCCUCAUCUCCGGCGCCGGGCUCGCCGCCCACGUCGCGCUCAACUACGUCUUCGUCACGCGCCUCGGCCACGGCCUCCUCGGCGCCGCCGUCGUCGGGAACGUCACCUGGUGGCUCAUCAUCGUCGCGCAGAUGGGGUACCUCGUCUCCGGAUGCUUCCCGGAGGCGUGGCGCGGGUUCUCCAUGCUCGCGUUCAAGAACCUCGCCGCCUUCGUCAAGCUCUCGCUCGCGUCCGCCGUCAUGCUCUGGUUGGUACAUCUGAUUAUCUCUGCUUAAUUAUUGAAGCAGCGGUUUUGGAUUAAACUAACAAAUUAAUUCGUUCAUUUUUCUUAGUUUGGAGCUCUGGUACUACACUGCGGUGCUCAUCCUUGUGGGUUACCUGAAGAACGCGCAACUUCAGAUUGACGUCAUGUCCAUUUGGUGAGCAACCCACAACAAUAAUUCUAUGUGACUUAUAUAUCCUCACAUAGAUUCAAUUUAUUUAUUUAGAACAGGGUAAUUUUGUCUUGAAAAACAUUUAAAGAUAAUUUAACCAACCAAUUGCAUGGUGCGAAAUUUUACAGCAUCAAUUACCAGCUCUGGACACUGAUGGUUGCACUGGGCUUCAACGCAGCAGUCAGGUAAUUAAUCAUCACAAGAACUCGACUACUCGAGCAUCAUUCAGCUCGGUAUCUCAAUUGAGAGCUGACGCCCAAAUUUAAACUGCUCUGCUACAAUACAGCGUGAGGGUGUCGAACGAGCUGGGCGCGAACCGGCCCAAGGCCGCCAAGUUCUCGGUGAUCAUGGCGGUGCUGACGUCGGGCUCCAUCGGCGCCGUCUUCUUCGCCGUGUUCCUGGUCUGGAGGACCGGGCUGCCCCGGUUCUUCAGCGAGGACGAGGACGUGCUGAGGGAGGCCGCCAAACUGGGCUACCUCCUCGCCGGCUCCAUCUUCCUCAACAGCAUCCAGCCCGUGCUCUCCGGCGUGGCCAUCGGCGCAGGGUGGCAGGCGCUCGUCGCCUUCGUCAACAUCGGCAGCUACUACUUCGUCGGCAUCCCGCUCGCAGCGCUCUUCGGCUUCAAGCUCAAAAUGGACGCAAUGGUAUGUCAGACUGAUCGAGUAGACAAUUUUCAGUUUGAUCAAUGUAAACAUCUGGAUAUUCGUUUUUUUUUCGAAACGAACCGGCAGGAGAACUACUAAAGAGGGAAAGCCUAGGUAGGCGAAAAGGAUAUUCAGAAACUAUAUGCAGUGACGUGUGCUUAAAUUUCUGCAGGGGAUUUGGGUGGGCAUGACGCUGGGCACGCUGCUCCAGACGGCCAUACUCCUCUUCAUUUCCUACAGGACCAAGUGGGAUAAACAGGUGCAGUCCUAGACUGACGAACUGUCAAUUAGUCUGAGCUAAAGAGAUUAUUUUUAUCUCAGAAAAUUGUUCUGAACUAUCUGAAAAUGAUGCAGGCUAUGCGGGCCGAAGAGAGGGUGAGGGAGUGGGGAGGAAGGAACGAAGCCCUGCCGUCGGCGACGCAGGUUGCGCCGGCGACCGAAGAUGCGGGCCGGUUGUCAAAUGGCUCUCAAAACUUGGAGUUGCAACCGCAACAGAGAACAGGGUAGAUUUUUUAUGAUUAAAUAUGUACAGAUUGAUUGGGUGAAGCAGGAGCUUAAUUUAUAGUGCCGGAACCUCCUUUAAAGUUUUGUUUUCAAGCUUGAACAACUUUUGCCCGUUUUUUUCUUUUGUCAGAAGAUCAUACGGUGUACCUAGGUUCAGUUUCAGUUUUCAUAUGUUUAGAAACAUAAUUUUGAUUAUAAUGUUUUCCUUUUCUUCUUUGUACUUACUGGCAAUGGGUAAAUCCCCAUCAGGUAUGGCCACUUCAGACCCAUCCCCGCCAUAAAAAUUUAAGACCACCAGAAUCCCAUACCCGCUAUGGGUGGGGAAUUUUCCCCAGACCCAUACCCGGUCGGGUAAAUCAUACCCGGCGGGUCACCCAUACCCGCCAAUAGUUUAUUCACGGCGUCGACGAGCUCAGGAUCCAGCGGCUUCAGGCAGUCACCGUCCUCUGGGACCUCCACGAUAUCCCUUGACGCCAUAGUGAACGAGCUGGUUAGUGUGAGGGAGAAGGACUAAAGGAGGCAAGGAGCACCUGGGCACCUAGCGCCUGCAAAGCAUAUGAAGGGGAGAAGGAGAAUGGAGAAGCAAGAAUCACCAUCCGUUGAUGCUUCCUUGCUCCAUCAGUGGCAUGGCGUCGGAUGUGGCGGCUUCCUGGCGCUUGGAUUUGGAUGGAGUGCGAUAGCGAGUCAGCGAUGCAAAAGCAAAACGAGGUCACGAGGGGGGCGCAGCCGUGCAGGCGGCCAGGCGCUAUUCACUUGUUUUUUUUGCGGUGGCCGUGGCGAGUAGGAGUAGCAACUAGCAAAGUGAGCGGCGUGCGGGUUUUUUUUUCGACGGCCAGCAGGGACCAGCGGUGCGCUGGUGGCUGGGUGUGAUAGGGUUGGGAGGGGUGGGGAAUGGGGAUAAGAUUAUAUAACUAGGGUUACCUUAUGGGUUAGUGAGCUUCUCUACUUUUGGACCGGAUAUUUUUCACCCAUGGGUUAACGGGUAUGGGGACUGCUAGAACAUACCCGUACCCACGUACCCGAUGGGUGAAGGGUUUGGUCCAUUUACGUACCCGUGGGUACUGUGUUUAGUCCAUAUUCAGAUUCUAAUGGAGUAAAUACCCGUCGGGUAUCGGAUCGCGGGUCUCCAUUACCAUCUUUACUUGGAAGAGACUAGUAUGUUCUCUGUUUUUUAUUCCGAAGAACUAGCAUGCAAUUGAUAGCUUGCCAAAAAUAAAGGAAAGGUGUCGCACAUAUCCACAAUCCACUGCAGGGAGUCAUCACUUAUCUAAGCAUAAUGCAAUGCAAUAUUUUUCGCAAUAGCAAAAUCACUAUAGUAUUUAGCAGUAUCUGGUGAAAAGUCACCAAUCUGUUUUGCUUCUGUGUGCGGCAUUGCCUCAUAGGCUCAUACUGUUUCUUGAAAGCCAAAUGGUUAACAAAAUUUUUAUUCAAGGGACAUGUCUGGUUAAAAUGGGUUUGGUGUUGAACACCUGUAUAUAUCCAUGGCGUCACCUUGUGAUGUAGUUGUUGAUACCACUUGCACCAUCUUAAGAGAAGUCAAAAUGAUGUUUUAUGUUUACUUAGUUAAAGUCCUUGUGCUAUGCAACAGUUUGCUAAAUGUGCUAAAUGGGGGAUGUCUACCUCUGCUGCCAUGGCUUUUGAUAGCUAUAUUGACCAAAACCAGAAACCACUGCAAGAUCAGAUGAUGAAACGCUUACAGAGAAAAUGACGUAAUCAAUUGUGAAACUUAUUUUUGCAUCCACAUCGAAAAAGAAACGAAACAAAAAAAUCGAGGAAUAAUAAAGUUAAAUUCAGUAUUGCAAUCCAGUUUGCAAGCAACUACCUAACCAGAUCAAACCAGUACGUGUGUGGAUUAAGUAAUCAGAGACGUUUUCUACACUGGUUAACCUCGUCCAUGAACUGCCCUAUUGAUGAUCCAAGAGGUCGUGUGCAUCCUCUCUACUCAGACUUCCCUAUCAACAACGGAAAAAUGAACUCAUUUUUCUGGAGCAAUCAAACUAUACUACCUGCUCCGAUUCUGGCGUCUCAAUUAGUCCAUCGGUUCUUCACGUUUCAUUGGAACAUCUCUACUGGCUAGCUCUUCAUAAGAAACGUGAAAGGAUUAUUUCGGUUAAUAUCAUGAGUAUAUGAGGAUAUCCAUCCAGCCCUGUUUUUAAGAUAAUGAAACAAAAUUCUGCGUUUAGCCACUUCAUGAAAAAGACAUGAGUCUAGCAUUAUUACAGAACGUAGCCAACGCUACCCAAAAUCACCAAUGGGUAAAGUUUGGCAUUACGUAGCGAACAUGAUCCUAUUAAGCCAUAAUUUGUGAUUUUGGUGAUUGAGUCCAACAUAGUCAUUGGGACUAAUGGAUUGUCUAGCAUGUAUCUUAUAGGUCCCAAGUAUACAAACCAAACCAUGGCAAGGUCCAAAUCAUGGUAUUCAAGUAUCCAAGCUAUGGUAUCUAGGAUUAUUCUAUGGUAUUCAAGCAUCCAAAUGACAGAAAAUUCUAGAGCACCACAAUGACGGUAUUUUCGGUGCUUGUAUUGGAUGAGUUGAAGAGAAAAAGAAACACGUUCCGAUGGUCCACCUGAGAAGCGUCAGAGCAACCAUCGGACGAAAUGGUACAACUGCAGGCGGUCAAGACCACCGGAUGUUCUGAUGCCCUGAUUUCUAGUAGCGUCGGAUGAAUUCUGAGGAUAAGACUUGGAAGACAAAGAAAACCCUAUAGCACCGGAUGAUCCGAUGGUAGGCCAAGAGGAGCGUUGAAGGAAACAUAUUUACUUUGCGAAGUUCCUUUUGCUAGAAGCUCUUCAGCACCGAAUGAUCCAACGAUACCAUCGGAUGAAUUUUCGACGUGUUAGUGAAGAACUUGGGCGCGGGGAGGCCAACAGCUAGUAGCACCGGAUGUUCUGAUGCUACCCAAAUGUAUAGCAUCGGAACAUCCGAUGGUACACUUUAACUAGCUAUUGGAGCAGCGACUCUUUUAUGCCUUGGGGCUAUUUAUACCCCCUCCACUUACCCAUUUGAAGUUACUGGAGUGUGCAGAAGUCCAUUGGACAUCAAGGCUCAUCAAGAACACAUCCAAGCCACCAAAAGUGCUUAAGUGACUAUUCUAAGGCUUAGCACAAGUUUAGAAGAGUGAUUAGUGCUAGGAUAGGCCUAGAGAAAGGGAAAAUGCAAGGUGUGCCUACCUUUUGAUCAGUUCUAGGAGUGAACCACACUUGUACAAGGUAUGCCAGCGCCUUGGAGCCUUGGUGGCUCGUCGGCAAAUCUUCGACCCUCCAGCUUGGUGAGGAGUGGCGUUGACGACCGUGUGCGGGGAACGUGGAGAUCCCCUUCCUUAGUGGCAAAGCUCCUUAGUGGAGACGGCAUCAAUAUGACCAGGGAACUUGACGUGAGCCUUAGUGGCCAAGCCUUUGUGGCAAGUCAAGGGGUGUCCCGGGAGAGACUUGGUGAUCGGGAAGCAAUACUCUUGUGUAAGUGAUUCAACAAUUUGAACUAGUGGUGGCUUAAUGCCUACCGAUACCAUGGGAUAAAUCAUCGUGUCAAGAGUUUUUUCCCCUCAUCCCCUCCUUUACGUUUCCGCAUUUCAUACAUGCAACUUGUGUGCCUUUACUUUCUUAGUGUAGUAUCUUGCUAGGAUUGGCUCUAGGUUGCAAAACUCGCUUUGGGAUGAGGGUUUCACACUAGAUCAACCAUAGUUGCAUAUCUUGAUAGCUUUAUCUAGUUUAAGUUUGAUGUAAAAGUAGUAAAAGUCAUAGGUUAAGGAUUUAAGUAGCCUAAUUCACCCCUCCUCCUUUUAGGCUACAAGCACCGUUCCACAUUAUUAUGAACUUCUGAAUACGAAAGGCCAUUCAUGGGUGGCAAAAAAUCAACUCCAGCUGAUGGCAAUCUUAAGUCAUCAACUCCCCUUUGUUCAUUACUUCGUUGUAAUUAUGCCCAGAAACAUAGCUAACGCAUCCCCUGACUAAGAUCUGCGAAAACGUAUCCAGCGAUGGAUACACAUUUUUUUUUUUGCCUUACCAACUAUCUCCCUCAAGUACAUUGUAUAUAUGUAAACAUCCAACAGUUUAGUUUUCUAUGCUGCUACUUGAGGAAGAAUUUAGCAAGAUCCCGCAAGACAUAUGGGGCAUAUUUUUGUGCCCUCUUCCAACUGCCCACGAACAGCUCUGUGCCUCUGUUUCACGCCAAAUAUACACACCAAGAUCAAUGUCAAACUAUUAUCUAUUUCUUCGUACAGACCAUUGUAUCCACAGGAAGCAACUUGACGUAAUCUGGCUUAGUUUCCGGCCUUGUUCAUCUCGUCCUCUCACUAAACUUCUCACCCGGGCACUGGGGCACGCCCCCACUCGUCGACUUUGGAUCUGGCUUGAAAUUUUUUCAUAGAUUUUUUCUUCUCUUAUGAUAUGGCGACCAAAGUUGUCAAGUGAGUAGGUAGCUGCUCCAAUCACACAUAGGUCAAAUAGAUGAUGCUCUCUGUUCCUUGACAAUGCAUGAGCUAAGUGUGUUGCAUAGGAUCAUAGCUAGGUUUACUUCAUCAUAUCUAGUGCAAACCAUCUGCCUCGUGCAAUCUUGAGAACUAUAAAUCAAGACCACAUGAUGCUAAUCCAAUGGCUAGGUUUAGUGAUGCAGCACCUUUUCCAUGAUAUGCAAAAGUGGUCGGCGGGUGAAGGGCUUAACUGCAAAAUAAUCCUACCACUAACCCUAUCCACUGGAUUAGCAUCUUAUGGUCUUGAUUCAUAGUUUCCAAGGUUGCACAGGGUAGAUGGUUUGCAUGAGAUACGUUCCCCUAAAACAAACCCACCUUUUUUGCCGGAAGCUUUUGGAGGAGGUUGUUCAACCAAUAAUGACCUGGUUUGUUGGUAUGAACACAAGGUCCACCGGUGAUAUUCCUUCUGGAAUGUAUUUCAUUUCAGUAACAUAUUGUUUGAGAAAUUAAAAAAAAUGCUAGAGUCGACUUCGUUAAGUCUAAACCACACUGAACCUCACAAAAACAAUUCUGAACGACAGUAGAGCUAGAUCUAAGCUUACUACUACUUGCAUUUAAUUAAUAGAUAUUGAUUGCUAGUGUAAGGGCAGUAUGGUCAACAGUUUUAAGGGGUGUUUGGAUUCGAGGUGCUAAAUUUUAUGAGGGUCACAUCGAAUGUUCGGACGCUAAUUAGGAGGACUAAAUAUGAGCUAAUUAUAAAACUAACUGCAGAACUCCUAUACUAAUUCGCGAGACGAAUCUAUUAAGUAUAAUUAAUCCAUAAUUAGCAAAUGGUUACUGUAGCACCACAUUGUCAAAUCAUGGACUAAUUAGGCUUAAUAGAUUCGUCUCGCGAAUUAGACUCCAUCUGUGCAAUUAGUUUUAUAAUUAGACUAUAUUUAAUACUCCUAAUUAGUAUCAAAUAUCCGACGUGACAGGUACUAUGAGUUAUUAUCCAAACACCCCUUUAAUAAUGUUGUAUCCGGCAACUCGAUUGCAUGCUACCAACUCAGCUGCGUGGUCUGGUUCAUGAGACUUGCAGUCUUUGAGGUGUCACCUACCCAUCGACUGGGACAUAAUCCUAACACGAAAGGCACCGAUUCUUUUUUCUAGGACUGCGCUGGUAAGAGCGUGAGAGCAACGCUACCGUGGCACGUACGACCGCUGGUCGCCGGAGUGAUGGGCAAACGGCUACGGAGCGCUGGAACCGGAAGCGAGGCUGGCUGAGGCGUGAUGCGGCAACCUGUUUUGAAUUUUGAUCCGUGAACACGAUUCAGCAGAAAAAUAAAAUUAUGUUGGGGUAUCCAUCCAUCAGUGUUUAACUACUCUACCGGUAGAAAAAUAAAAUUCAGAGGUCACCGCGAUUCACCAGAUAUAUAGGAUAUAUCGGGACAAAUUCAAUAAAUUUAUUUUUUUUCCAAAUUUUUUUUGCAUGGUUCCACUAGGAAUCGUCCCCGAUCCAAUAAAGAUAACAAAAUGCACAUAAUUAAGAACAAAAAGAUUAUAGCGUUCUAGCACCCCUGCAGCCUGCAAAGCUUUGCCAGACAAAAAGAAUGGGCCAAGGUCUCGAUCGUCCUUCCAGAAAAAUAAGGCCUGCCUAAGGGGCUUCUUCUUAAACCAUUAGCGGCCUGGCCCAUUAAGCUGCUUGGUUGGCAAGAAGAGAGCCAAAGGUCAUAAAAGAAAAACAAAAAGGGAAGGCAGGCUUUGGCUGCAGUGAAGCACUCCUGAUCUAGGGUCUCUUUAGUAGAGCUCCCAAAACGGCUCCACCACCGACUUCAUCGGGAGCCCUACCAAAUGGUUGUUUGCAAAAUAGCUUUGAGGUUGAAGUCCACCUGGAACUAGAGCCCUUUUUUACUACGCGCAGGAAACUGAAAAAUAUGGCUCCCCGUAGCUCCUCCUCAUCCCGGCAUGCACAAGUACACAGUUGUCCCUCGAAAUUGCAAAUACUACAGCCAAAAUGCCACUCACCGGGGGAGCGGCGCGCUGAGGCCAGCCGCAGGCGGUCCGUGCGUCAAGGGAGCAGUAUGCCGGGCGUGGAGCGUGGCGGCGGCACGUCGGUGCCAGAGCGCGGUAGCUGGUCGGCGAGCAGCGGCGGAUUCAGCCCACCUCGACUCCGCGUGGCUCGGAGCAGCGCGGCAGGUUGAGAGCAGCAUGCAAGGUUGGAGCGGUGUGCGAGGUCGCCGGUCGGAGCGGCGCAGCAGGGCCGGAGCAAAUCGACGGGACGAGCGAAGCGCGUGAGCGCCUGAGGAUAGAGACGGGGAGAAAAAGAAGGAUUGGAUAAGGAAGAACGGAAGAAAAAGGGAAGAAAAAGGCUGCGGUACAAAAGAGAAUGGAACCGGAUAUUGAGUAAAAAAAAGAUGCGUUUAAAAAAAUGGUAUAGAAUAAUCUAUAAUUUUAUUCGUUAUUUCUUAUUACAUAGUAUAAAAUCAUGUUAUAAUUCCAUUUUUUUAUUUUUUUUAUUUCAAAUGCAUCAUAAAUUGAGGGAAAAAUAUAAACUUUACUCAAUAGUUAUGGGCAUAUUGGACAUUUAACCUCUUCUACGUAUUAUAAAAAAUAGAAGAAGCCAUUUUGCCAAACGUUUUCCAAAACGACUUCAACUCUAACAGAGGAGCCGAAGCCGAAGUCAUUUUAACCACAACCAGAGCUCUGCCAAACUAGCCCAGAUAUGCUUGUGCCGUGGAGGUGGGUCCAUACAUUUUCAAGUACCUCACCACCUGACUUCACUUAUUACAAGAACUCAGCAGAGUUGGUAUCAUCAUACGACCAUGAUGAGUGAAAAAUCACCUCCUGAGUUCAGUUGAUACUUCUGUUUCGAACAUCGAUGCAUAAAGCGGGCACUCUGCCCCCCUUACAAAAACAAAUUCAGAGCUGAAGCACCCUUUUACAAAUAGUAGAAGAACAAAACGUCGAAAGAUGGGAAUCUACCACGACACAAAGAAAGGCAAGAAAGAGCCCUCAAAAAAAAAAAGGCAAGAAAGAGUAAAGGGGCAGAGCAUCCAAGAUUGCAUUUCAAACGCAGCAAAGUAUAUAGUAUGUUCGACUUUCUUUUGCAUUAAGUGAUAGCAGUCUACAUGGCUGGUCAAGCUAAAGACCACUUAACUUCAUGCGUGAACUGUGCAAUUAUAUAAUUGUGAAGGAAAAUCAAUACUUCUUUUUUCUGCAAUGGACGGUAUAAACUAAAUCCUUAUUUAUCUUCUCGUAUAUACUUCGUGUACUGUAGACGAUAUAUACCCUUUGCUAUGCGUAACAUGAACCAAGAGUUCUCAAAAUACCUAUACCCAUGUUCGAACUUGAGGGGAAAACCCAGCUUCACUAUGGAAAAGACCCCGUCAGCUUGAUAUGAUCGAGGGUACUCCUCAAGCCAUACCGCUCAACGGCUCGCAUGCCUGCUCGAAACCCAUCUCCGUAGGCCACGGAAGGAUCUGUCUCAAUCUGGUGCUUGAAGAACUCGCCAAGUCUCUUUUCGAAUUCUGUCUUUGCACCCUUUUUUGAUGAGGAGGAUGUUGAAGAGGAUGAUGACGCAGCUGAGGUGGUUGCCAUGCUACCAGAACCUGAUGUGAUUUCCGACUCAAGCCACAGGUGAGCUAGAACCUGACAGAUGCCUUCUUCAACCUCUGGACUCAGGGUUCGGUAUCCUACCAAAAAUGGGGUAUUAAGAUGGUAUAUAUUUCUGUUCUAGAAACAUAGAAGUAUGAUGAGGAUGCUGCAAAUGAAAAUAAAUAAGCACAACAGGAGUACCUUUAAGUCGGAGGUAAGCAUGCAUCAUUUCAUGAGCCAGAAUUGAGCCAGUUAGCAGCCUGCAUGCAAUCAAACCAAUGAAAAUGAAAACAUGCAGGGCAUUCCAAUGGAUUGGUAAUAGGCAUUCAUCAAAGGAAAACAAAAUCAAUUGUAAUUAGUUUGUUAAAUAAUGAAAGAAAAAACCUUGGCAGCCCGUACAGUAUAAGAAUUGCAGUCACUUCACACCGUCGAACUAGUUUGUAUGGUCCUGUGAUCAUAUCUAUGAUUCUGUUGCCUGGUCCAAUUAUUGGUCUUCUUAAUAUCUGUACAAUAUUAUUACAUUAUCUUAUUUUAUCAUAAAUGCCCUCGAAUUACAGAAAAUCAGUAGAUCAAUUUAGCAAAACAAGGAAAUGUUUUAAGAUCUUACAGUUCUGACAAUCUGCUCUUCAGAUAGGCAGAGACCUCUGGUUUCAGGAAGGUGGUGUCCCUAAUCAAUAAGAGUAAAAGAAUAAUAUUAGAUGUGCAUUAUGUACACCACACGAUAACGGACAGAAUGUCACUUACAAUUUUCUCUGCUUCCAUGGCUUCAUUUAGAGCUUGUCGCUCAACCAAAAGCAAGGGAACUUGUUGUUCUACUUUCAUGUUCAUACCCUCAUAGAACUCCUGAAUAUCAAUGUAUAGUGGCUGGCACUCAUUGGUGUCCAUAAUUGCAGUAUGCAGACACUCCAAGCAGAGUCUCCGGCCAUCAUCUAAUGUUAUAUAUUGACUGUGCUUUGGCUGGGUUUGACAACAAAACAAUAAAAGAAGGAAAUGCCGUUGGAAUCACCAGAGCCAUGAAGAUGUGCACUAUAGGUGGCACAAGAUUAUACAAUUCAUCAAAAUUACAGGUAAAUUUCUGAAAAUAGGCGCACAAAUGCAGCUGUUGAAGUAUUUAAAUGCCAUGCAGGAAUGGCAUUGGUUUGUUUUAUAUAAAUACAUCAAUACAUAUAUAACUGUACAUAAACAUAACACUAACCUCCAUUCGCUCACAGCUGCAGCACCUAGGUGUACCAUCAUUUUCAUGGGAAGGACAAUACUUCUGCAUCCAGAAAGGAUGGGCCCGGUAUUCAAUGAGGCCAUUUUUAUUUGUGGGAAUCUGGUUACCAAAAUGCCAUCAGUGUUAAGAAAACCUCAAUGGAUAAUCAAGGUUAAAUAAUUAGUUUUUACUAAACUUUCAAGCUCAUCUAUCAAACUGAAGUGAAGAAUGCUUACAAAGCUAUUGCAAACAUCACAUUUAGGAUGGAAACGCUCCUUGUAGCAGGACCUGUGGUAUGCAUGGUCUUCAUGAACAGCAAACUUCCAAAAAGAAAGGUUGGUGUUAAUUAUCUUGUGAAGCUGAACCAUGUAGAUCAGGGGUGUUCCAGAUUUUAUACCUCAUACUCUGAUAUUGGUAUAUCACAACCGUAACACCUGAAGCACUGGGGGUGCCAAACAGAGUCCAUACAACUGAGAAACCGUCCCUGACCAAUUGGAGUUUUGCAUCCAGCACAGACCCUACAGAAGGCAGUGGUGCAACCACAAACAUAAAAAUUACAGAACGGAAACGCUUAACCAGAGAAAAUGGAGAGAAAUCUCAUAAUAAGAUUCUACAUCACAGAGUAGGAUAAGGCUCAGAUAACCAGACAAGACAAUCGAUCCAUGUUGCAUAUCCAGUCAGGAUAAUUCUAUACUAUGAGACGUAUAGGCUUCUGAGUAUUACCCUCAUGUAUAUAGCCUUAUUUGAAUACUGGCUCAUUAUAUAAUAUAUAUCUCACCCAGGUAGCCUUUGAUAUAUAUGAGUUUGCAGCCAUAACAUGUUUUCAGAGCAAAUGGUGCUUCUUCAAACAUUUUCCAAACUCUAACCCUAGCCCUACCCUAGAAUCCAGAGUUGUUUUUUUCUCCUUGUAUAUGAGAGACCAACAAGCUACUGCAACGGAACCAAGUCUAAUACAUCUGAUGACUAAUGUAUCAGGAUGGUUUUCCUCCUGAUUAUCAGACGUAUCGUCCUAAAUUGUCAUUCACCCCAGUAGUGUGACAUGCAGUGUGUUUAUGCUUAAUAGUAUUUUGAAACGAAAAAUAACAAAUAAGUUUGUGCUGAUUGGAAGGUAAGAUUAUGUCAAGGGGCAGAAGCAACUAGUGAAGCAUCACAUUAUCUUAAUGUACCAUUGCGAGAAAUACCUCGAUCCAUUUGUGGGGAAAACAUAUGGGGGCAAGCUACUUGCUGGAGCACUUUCUGAGUGAACAUCUUCAAUUGGAAUAUGCUGACGAGGAGGAUGUUCAUCAUUCAUACUUUCUUGCAGAGCCCGUGCAAGCUGUUCAUCUUCAUCUAGAGUAGGACUGGUAUCUGGUUCAUAAUAAUAAGACAAAGCAUUAAAAUUCCUGGUUCUGAUCAACAGUACUCAUUUUCAUAUGCUCAUUUGCCAAUCAAGAACUGCUAUAUGCUAUUCUUUCUGUAAUUACUAAAUAAGAAAAUUUAAUAUUACAGGAAAACACUGUCCCAAAAAGAGUUAUGUUAUUUUUGGUCCCUGAACUUGAGAAUUCCAUAUUUAGCCCCUGAACUUGUAUAUGUGGUCAAGGCACGUCCAAGCCUUAUUUAAUUGGUAAUUAGACAUGAAAUUGAAUUUCAGGUUGAUGUGAAAUCAAUGAACAGUUAUCUGAAUGAAUAUAUCGAAGAGGAGGUCCAUCAUUCAUACUUUCUUGCAGAGCCCGUGCAAGUUGUUCAUCUUCAUCUAAGUGGUGCUCCGUAUCUGAUUCGUAAUUAAAAUAAAAAUAGAAAAGCAUUAGAAUUCAUAAUUCUGGCUAACCGUGCUUAUUUGCACAUGCUCAUAUUCAAUCUAAAACUAGCUGUCUGAUACUUCAGGUAAUUACUAGAGAAUAAAUUUCAAAGUUAGAGAAAACCCGUGUCCAAAAAUGUGUUGCUUUUGGUCCCAAACAUGAGGACUCCAUAUGUAGUCCCUGAACUUGUAUAUGUAGGCAGGAGGUAUGCCCUAUUUAAAUGGUAAUUAGAGAUGACAUGUCGUUUCAGGUUGCUAAUUCGACCUUGCAACCAUCAUGCAAAAUCAAUGAAGGGCUAAAAUUUUGGAUUUGCAUGGAGUUAUGAUGUGCUUUAAUAGUUUUCAGUUAGUGUUGCUUCACAAAAGAUAUUGUCAAACAUUACCAUUAAUUAGAACAAAAUGCUUUGUUAUCACUGGUUGCUAAAUUACGUCAGGUUUAGAACUGUUCUUACUGAUAACAGUUUAGUAGAUCUGAAAUUCACUCUCAAGUUUAAGGACACAAGUAACGAAACCACACAAUACAAUAGGAAUUUGCUAUGCACUUUUUUUGUCUCUAAAUUAGAAAUAGCCAAAACAUGCAAAGAUGGGUAGAGUAAUACAAACCAAUGGCCUUUCCCUUCCUUUGAUCUUGCUCUGAUAAGGAUAGUGCAAUAGCAUGAUCCAUGUCUUCGUCCUCAUUACCAUGCGCACCCUGCUACAGUAAGUUUUUGUAAUAAUCAAAUAAGGAAUAAUUAAGUAUGCAAACAGAACAUCCAGUGCUGUUCCUUCCCUCUCAGGAGUCAGGACUGAGGAACAUCCAGCAUAGUUGUGAGUCCUAAUAUAUAUUAAAAAUACUGCGAGUCCUAAUUAACCAAGCACAAAUCGAUAAGUUGUUCGCUAUUUAUAUUUUCUAGGCAGACAUACCACCAAUUGGCUUUAAUCAACAUGAUUUAUCAGAAACAGGGAAAGACCCAUUUCAAAUUAAGAGAGUAAAGAAUUAUGGGGAGUGCCUUGAGCAACUGAUUGUAUAUAAUAUCAAGGAGCACACAUUUUGAUGAACUAUGGUUCUCUUCAUUUUUUUACAGUAGGUAUUACUUAAAACUAACUUAUUUGCAUCAGUAAAUAUUAAGAUUAAGAGGAUAAGAUGCAACUGAGCAGAGUGGUACAUAUGAUUUAGUGUGUUGAGUUGAAUAGCCUUCAUGGGAGUUCCCGUUGUAAUGUCCCCUUGAAACUCUAUUUACUGAACCUUUAAAUAUUUUACUCAGCCAACCCAUGUUUAUAAUCUGGAGGGUCAAGAGCCUUCUUCCUGCACAGCCAAAAAAAAAGAAGAGAGAAUCAUAUUUAGAGGAAACUUGUGCAUAUGAGCUCUCCAUAUUUAGAGAAGGCAAUUGAUGGUCUGUCUAUAUCACAUUCUAGUAUUUCUUAUGUAGCAGUUGACCCAGAGAAGGUUAUUUCUAUAUCUAACAUAUUACCAUGAUACCAUCUCCACAAUUACUCCCUACCCCCAUCCAAACACCCACCAGCCACCAAACCUAUGUUCGAUGUUGCCUCCCCUCCUUCAAUACCAACUCUCUGUUUGCCUCUCCCCGACUCCCCUGUGGCCUUGAUACUCGAAUCAAUACAUAGGAAAACUAAAAACGUUCAUAUCUUGGGAACAUAAACACAUCCGGCAAAACAGGUAUCAAGUUGGCUUUGCUGAAGGUAAGAUGCAAGGCACCAUUGACACUCACUAAGCAAGAGAUGAAGGUGGAAGAAUCUUCAAGCACAUUCACAGGCUAGAAAUUUGCUAUGGUCCCCAAAAAUUUUCAUUGACUGCUUUAUAGCAAUUUCUUCUUCCUUGCCAAUUUUGUGAUGUGUAUUCCAGUAGUAAGCACAGACCUCAGAGGUAGAGUGAAUGCGCAUGAAUUUUCAACAGUCAAGCACAUUCAUAGGUUAUAAAUUCAACCAUAAUCAUCAAUGUUUAUAAUUCAGAAGAUGUAUAGCAAUUCUAUAUUUUUAUUUCCUUAUUAUCUUUUAAUGUAGAUCCCAACAGUAAGCGUAGAUGCAUACUGCAAGAAAACAUCAUUAUGUUUCUAGAAUUUAUCACGCCUAAAUUUUGGUUGUUACUUCUUCAGAGUGCUCUUUGCUUUGAAACUGAAUAUGAUCAACCAUGUAAAAAGGGGCCAGGCUCAGUAGUGCACUCUACAUUACUUUAAAGGGUGAGAUCAAAACACAAACAGGCUUGUGGGACACCACAAUGAUGAAAUGUUUCAAAAUUCCAUAUGCAUGGCAUCCCCAAUGCAAAAUGCACAUAAGUAACCCCAAAGAUUGUCACAACUAAAUAUUCCAAGGGCAAACUAUCAGAAAGAACCGUAGUUACAUUAGAACUGAGUAAGAGAGCAACUGGCUUACCUUGGGAAGGUCAGAUAUGCUCCAAUGUCCUUUAAUUCAGCAAAAUACAGUUGGAGACGGAAAUGGCAUCAACGAUGUUAUGUAAACUACGACAAAGAGACCAGCAAUUGAUCACCUACACAGCUAUAUCUGCUGUAUAUUUUCCCCUGAGUUCAUAAUGGAAAAAUGUAAUCAAUAAAAUUUAUUUAUGCUGUAGAAUCCUUAAAUCGAAAAGUAUACUGAAAUUCAACAAAAUAGCUUAGCAUGUCUCUUACUGUCUUAUAUUUACUAUACAUGUAAACCCUUUGAGAACCUGGAAUGCCAAAAAAUGCAGAUGCAGCCCUGCUUAUAUAAAUAUAAGUCGUGCGGAAAUCACUGGUGACCAAUCAAUCCUUAUCAAGUUGUCACCAUGGUAUGAUGAAUCUAAAUUCCAAUAUCCAGUACCAAAAAAAAAAAAUCUGUAGAGAGAAGGCAAGUGCACCUUCAAAGGAGAAGAGACUACAGAAUAAACUAAAAUGGCUAAUGUCAUUAUCUUAUCCUUACCUAGAAAGGAUAGGGAGGAUCUUGAAUCCAGAGAAAAAAUAUGUACAACUUUAUGCAGCAGGAAACCAAGACAACCAAACUAUUAUGCCUAAUUCCUGUUCCGCAACAAACAAGUCAUCAUGAAGCAAUACGGAGCACGAGAAAGGGGAACAAUUAGAGCUUUUCCUCCCAAAAGUAGAUGCGAACUAGUUGAGCACCAAAAAGGGUAAACAGCAAGGUAUAAGUACCUUGAUCUCAGCAUCAUAGGAUACAUAAUUUUGACUGGGAGAACAGCAGGGACCGGUGUGGAGCUCACUGGGGUCUGGGGACAACCCCCACCUUAUGUCCCCAAUCAGGCAAUGGCCACACUCCCAACUCCUGCACCUGAGCAGAGAGAAGCCAUCAUGACAGUCCCCACAAGGCAUGGAAGUACAGCCACCGAAUUCAUCACAGUAAUUCACCGCAAAAGGACAUCAACUACCAAAUUAACCUUGAGAACAGGUGAAGCAAGUAAAUUACGGCAAAAACCGCCCAAGAUCAUCGUAAUUCAACUAGAAGAAGCAGGGAGGAAAGACUCACCAGUUCAGAGCCUACGAAUUCAGCAAAGAUCCCCUCUUUCUGGCCUUCUUGCACCAGAACAGCCGGCCGGCCGGAGAGACACGAGCCGACAGAAUAGAAGGGAGACGAAACGGGGAGAGACGAUGGAGGUGGAGGAAAGAAAGCGAACAAAGCGUGACACGGACGGGAAGGCGGAGGUGCGGCAGCAACAGGGAGGCCGAGCCCGAGAGAUGGAAAAAAGAAAACAACCAUCUGAGGGUGACAUCUCUCUCUCUCCCGCUCCCACUGUCACUCGCCCACCGCCCGCCCGCCCGCCCGCGUCGCUGUCGCGGCGACGUCAACACCCCCCAUGCGCGUGGCCGGCGGGAGGGGGAGGGGUAGGAGGAGGCCCACGUGGGGCUUAGGCUGGCGAGCAGGCGCGGCGGCGUCUCGCGCACGCAUUGCGUCGAGCGCCCUGCCUGCGCGUCCAGGAAAUUCCCUGGCGGUUGGGCUUGCGGGGGUGGGCGGGUGAUUGGGGAGGUGGAGGGAAGAUGGGGACUUGGGUGACGGGUGGGAGGUCGCUGCCAGAGUCAAUGGCAGAGCAGGCCAGGUUGUUUUUGCAGCAAACCCCUCUCUGAUUACGGUAUUAAUCAAUGCAAUGCUUCUUCACCCAUGAGAAUGAUAGCUAGAAUGGGUAAAUCUCUUAUCUUCGUUUUGAGACGUGUACUCACUGUAGCGAACAUGAUCCCAUUAGACCAUAGUUUGUAAUUUUAGUGAUUGAGUAACAACAUAGUUAUUAGGAUUAAUGGUUUGUCAAGCAUGUGCCUGUAGAUUUUCUAGGUCCCAAGUAUGCAAACCAAACCAAACCAAACCAUGGCAAGGUCCAAAUCAUGGUGUUCAAGUGUCCAAGUUAUGAUAUCCAUGGUAUCUAAGAUUAUUUUAUGGUAUUCUAGAGCAUCCAAAUGACGGCAUCUUCGGUGUUUGCAUUAGACGAGUUGAAGAGAAAAAGAAACUAUCGGAUGUUCCGAUGGUCCACCUGAGAAGUGUCGGAGCAACCAUUGGACGAAUUGGUACAACUACAGGCAUUUGUCUAAGUCAAGACCACUGGAUGUUCCAAUACCCUGUUUUCUAGUAGCGUUGGAUGAAUUCUGAAGAGAAGGUUUGGAAGACGAGGAAAAUCCUAUAGCACCGGAUGAUCCGAUGGUAGGUCAAGGGGAGCGUCGGACGAAGCAUAUUUACUUUAUGAAGUUUCAGAGAGUUUUUGGCUAGAAGUUCUUCAGUACUGGAUGUUCUGACAAUACCAUUGGAUGAAGUAUCAGAUGAAUUUUGGAUGUGUAAGUGAAGAACUUGGGCGCGGGGAAGCCAAUGACUAGUUGCACCGGAUAUUCUGAUGCAUGCUAAAACAGACCAUCGGAAUAUCCGAUGGUAUACUUUAACUAGCUGUUGGAGCAACGGCUCCUUGAACUCUUAGGCUAUUUAUCUCACCUCCGCUCGCCUUAAAAAUCAAAGACUUAGCACAAGCUUAGAAGAGUGAUUAGUGCUAGGAUAGGCUUAGAAAAGAGAGAGUGCAAGGUGUGCCUGCCUUGUGAUCGGUUCUAGGAGCGACCACAUCUGUACAAGGUGUGUCGGCGCCUUGGAGCCUUGAUGGCUCGCCGGGAAGUCUUCAACCCUCCGGCUUGAUGUGGAGCGGCGUCGACGAUCGUGUGCGGGGUACGUGAAGACCCCCUUCCUUAGUGGAGAACCUCCUUAGUGAAGACGACAUCAAGGUUACCUGGGAACUUAGCGUGAGCCUUAGUGGCCAAGCCUUUGUGGUAAGUCAAGGGGUGUCCCGGAAGAGAUUUGAUGACCGGGAAGCAAUACUCUUGUGUGAGUAAACUAGUGGUGGCUACAUAGAUUAGUGGUGGUUUAGUGCCUACCGAUACCACGGGAUAAAUCAUCGUAUCAAGAGUUUGCUUCCCCUCAUCCUCACCUUUUACAUUUUCGCAUUUCAUACUUGCAACUUGUGUGCUUUUAUUUUCUUAGUGUAGUAUCUUGUUAGGAUCGGCUCUAGGUUGCAAAACUUGUCUGGAACGAGGAUUUCACACUAGAUCAAUCAUAGUUGUGCAUCUUAAUAGCAUGAUCUAGUUUAACUUUGAUGAAAAAAAUAGUGAAAAUUAUAGGUUAAAAUUUUAAGUUGUCUAAUUCACCCUCUCCUCCUUUUAGACUGCGAGAUCACCCAUUUCUUGCACUCUCUUGGGCAGAAAAAUUGCAAGCAUCGGUAGCUAUUGUUGUCAGGUGACAAGAAAUGCCUCUGGGUUGGCCCGUGCUCUGAACACACAAAAGUAAGCCCUCUUUAGCUGUUAAUGGUGCUAUUUCCUCGUUCCCAACGCCAACAGACCACUUCUAGUGCCUAGUGGUUGUCUUCUACAAUCAUUGUUGCCUAACAAGCAUAGAAUGCUCUCCCGUGGUUCUCAACAAGUAAAAAAUUAGGCGCAUGAUAUACGGUGUUUUGCGUAAGUAAAAAGCAGUAUAUGUUAGAGGAAAAUGUUUCUUAUGGUCCACAUCCAUACAGGAAUAGUUGAGUGCACGAGGUGUGCAAAUUAAAUAUGAUCAUUUUUAAUUCAUCGGACUGGAAAAAAUGGUUGUGAACUGUGAAGUAGCUAGUUUUGAGUCCAAACUGGUUGAAUUGACGGUGCAAUAAUACAACAGGUCCCCCGAGGUGUUGCAUGCAAAAGAAAUAGGCUUAAGUUGAAUCUGGUUGAUGCAUCAGCACGUCAAAAAGAGAUCACUGGUGAGCCGCCCGGGCACAUCUAUGGACUCAUGGAGUUAGUACUACACACAUUGUGCUUAUUAAUUAACUCCACCACUAGUACUGCUUAACAGCUUAUUGUUUUAGGAACCUGUCGUUUUCUUGCAAGACCAGUCAUAAUGCCGUAUCAUGAAUUUCGUGCAUCUCGGCUAAAAUGACUCGCUUUCCACUCGUGCGUGGCGUCACACAAAUUUACUUAAUUCGCACCACGUCAAUUAGGGAUAAACUAAAUUUCCAUACUUUUGAGUCCAAAUUGGUCACGAUGACGAUGCAAUAAUACAAUACUCUCACGUCCGAUCCCGAGGUGUUGGAUAUGCAAAGAAAAAGGUUGACGAUGAAUCUCUAGUUGAUGCAUCAGCACGUCAAAUUCAAAAGAGAUUGGUGGUGAGCAGGGGACAUCUAUGGAGUAUGGACUUAGUACUAAACACAUUGUUCUUAAUUAUAGCUCAACCACUAGUGCUUAAUAGCUUAAUAAUGUUUUGAAGCACAUUGUUCAACUGCGAACCUGUCAUUUUCUAUUUUUUAGAGUAAGGAAAGUAUCCGGUGCAAAUGUUUACGACCACAAAUGGUUCGCUUUCCGCUCGUAGCGUCACACCAUUUUUAUUUUCGAAUUGUGCCGCGUCAAUUACGACUAAACUGCAUUUCAGAGCUCAAACUUUACGCAAUACAACAGAACAAGCUUAGAAACUUCACCUUUUAUUCAGACGGAAGUUAUGUAUUCUAAAAGAGUCCACCUUUUAUACUCAUAGGUAGAGCAUAAACUGCAAAAAUGAUGGUAACCAACAUUUAUCAUUAUAAUCGCUAUGAGAGAGUGGAAAUACGGUUCGCACACCACCACCACAUGAAUGCAUAAAACUGCACUAUAAAUACCUUCAAGUGUUUGGACCGACAAAUCUUAAGUUCGGUAAAGUCCCAACCAUGAGUAUCUCCUUGUCGAUGGGCACGUCAUGUUGAAUAAAUCGCUAUAUUUGUCAUUUUGUGAGAUACGGUGAUGGGCAAGGAAUACAACUACUUUCAUGAAUGACUGAGGUGAUGUUUGUUGGUUCUUAUAUAGAGGGACGUAUGUUUUCUUUUCUCCAGGUCAUUGGAUAGACACAAAACUUAUCUGAAUGAACUGGUCCAGAUUUCAAAGCAAGAAAGGUGUAACAUCCCAUAUUUUUACGAGAUGUUUUUAAUUGCAAAAAUGUGAAUUUCAAAAUCUUUGUUGUGGAGGUGUGAGAAUUUUCAAACUAUUAAAGUGUAUUUAUUACCCCUCUCCCAAAAUUCCUAGAUUAAUUUGAAUUAAAAUUUAAAAUCUAGGUUGAAUAAAUGCUAGUGUGCCAUUUGGAUUUUAUUUGAUCAUUAUUUGAAUUUUUAUUUGAGUGGAUUCAAAUUUAAAUUCUAGAUUCAAAUUUGAAUUAAAACUAAACUAACCUAACUACCUAAACUAACUUGGGCCGAAACCUCACCCCGGCCCGCCUAAGCCGCACGGCCCAUCUAACUGCCGGCCUGCCUAAGCCGCCCCUUUCCCCCGCCAGGCCACUAAGUUAGCCGGCCCAAACCAUGGUCCGAUACACGCCGGCCCCUUCCAGACUCCUCCACGCCUUCUGCCGCUGCCAACCUGGGCCCGCACGUCAGCCACUCCAGGGGAAUAUUCCCCUUUCACCUACCCCCGGCCGCACGCACGCCGCAUGCGCGUCAUAGCGACCGCGUCGCCGCGCCACUACCACUCCGCAUCGUGACUGCUUUUGAGCUAGCCAGCGCCGAUGAAUGCCACACCGCCCCUUCGCAUCACCGCCGUCCGUUCCGCGUGCAAACCCUAGUCGCGGCCUACUUAAUCCCCGCAUCGGCCGCUCCCGGUUCCGCGCUGCAAGUUUGGGGUUUUCCCUGUCCGCCAGCGGUUUUGGAGAAGAAGGGGGAGAGCGGAGGGUGUCGGAGAAGAAGAAGAAGGGCGAAGAGGAAGAGGAAGGAGCCCGGGGAGAGGAGGAGGCGCCGUGUACCCGGAGCUUUGCCAUCACCUUCGCUAAGCCGUUCACCACCCGUCACUGCUCCGCCUCGCAACCGCGCCGUCAUCACCGCCGCCUUGACCGCCGGUGAGCCGCACGCCGCCCUUCUCCAUGCCUUUACCUAUCCACGCCAUAGAUAGGGCGCUAGGAACCGCUGGCACCACCGGGCACGCACGCCGCGGGCGCGGUCACCACGCACCGCGCGUGCGACAUCGCCCAUGGGCGCACGCCAUGCCACGGCCGGGGCUUGACCCCAAGCCCACGCUUUUGCCCCCGCGCGUGCCGCCGCUUCACCGUCGCCCUUGCCUCUGUGUGCCGGCCUUCGUGCCGAGCUUUUCUUGCAGGUGCCGCACACCGCCGCCAUCCACUACGACCAAGGCUCGGCCUUGGCCUGCGAGCACGCCUAGCCACCGCUAGAGCCCAAAGAUCGAGCAAUUAGGUUCCCUUGAGCCACCACUGUUCCAUCUUGGGUCGAGCCGCCGCCUCUCACCGCCGGCCGCCCGUGAACGCGCCGCCCGGCCGUGCGCCGUUAUUGUUGGCCAUAUGGCCCGUGGCCCAUGGGCCGGCCCACAGCACGCUUUUUUGGCCCAAUCUAGGCACGGCCCGGCACGGCGGCCAUCAUGCCCGUGUCGGCCUAGCCUACACCACGGGUCGGGCCUGGGCCGCUCCCUCAGCCCGCGUUCUAGCUCGUCACGGCCUAGCCCAUUUGGCCCGUGGACCACCAAUGGGUGGCACGGCCUGUUUAGGCCUAACAGGCCUGUUUCGGCCCAGCUAAGAGGCCAUAUAAAAUUGACCAAAACCUUACCUCCUUCCCCUUCCCAGCCGCCUCCGGCUUCCUCGCCCCUCGCCUCUGGGCUCCAGCUUCCUCGCGGCCUCGCCGCCUCCCCUGCCCCUGGCUCCUCACGCCCUCCACCGCUUAGGUGUCUGGUGCUAGCGUCGUCGUCGUCGCCUCAUCGUCAUUGCGGUCGACGAGGUGGUGGCUGGCGCCCUCCGUGCCUCCACCUGCCCCCCGCGCUCCUCCACCGGUGUCGAGCUUUGCUCCUGGGCGGCGGUGGUUGGGAAAAGAAGGAGUGCGGCGGUAGGGAAAAGAAGGAGAUGGCAGCGGUGGGGAAAAUAAGGAGCGCGGUGAUAGGAAAAAGGAGGAGACAACGGCGGUGGGGAAAAGGAGGAGCGUGGCGGUGGGGAAAAGGAGGAGACGGCGGCGGUAGGGAAAAGGAGGAGCGCGACGGUGGGGAAAACGAGGGGACGGAGCCGUGCCGGCCAGCGUGCCGGCACAGCCCGCCUAAAAAGGUUGUGGGCCGUGCCUGGGCUCCUGCUUUGGCACAUGGGCCGACACAGCCCGACACGAUUACUGUGCUCACCUGCUUCAACUAUGGCAAGCCCAGCCACAAGUCCUACGACUGCCCCGACAAGAAGACCAACCCGACGCCCACCAAGAUACUGGCCCCAGGGGGGAGAUCUCCUCAGACUGCCGCUCGGCAGCCUGCUGGCCACGGAAGACUCAACCACCUUACCAAGGAAGAAGCUCGAGAUGCCCCUGAUGUGGUGAUCGGUGAGUUUGUAGUUUGUGGCACUAAAGCUUUGAUUCUGUUUGAUAAUGGAGCAACUGGCUCCUAUGUUUCUUCUAAGUUCAUGACCCAACCGUCUCUUCCCAUGGUCCCCUAGCCUAUACCCAUUGUCACAAGCUCUCCCCUAGGUGAUAUGUGCUGCACCUUGAUGUGUAAGGGAGUAGAAAUGUGGAUGAAGGGACAUAAGUUCUUAGGAGACCUGACGGUACUUAAGUCCAACGGUAUUGACAUCACACUUGGCAUGGACUGGAUUAUCGCACACAAAGGUGUUAUCUCUAGUUCACCUCAUCUUGUGACCUUGCUACACCCUAAUGGAGAAAAGGUUGAGUUUGAGCCCAUGAAGUUCCGCGAUAUUCCGGCUGUGUACCGCCUCACUGAGAAGAUAGUGGCAGAUGUUCCUGUGGUUUGCGAGUACCCCGACAUAUUCCUAGAGGAGUUGCUGGGUUUACCUCCGGACCAUGAUGUAGGGUUUUUGAUUAACCUUGUAGCUAACCUAAAGCUAGCCUAUAGCUAGCAGGAUGCCACAUCAGCACGAGGGACCCACUGACCGUUGGCCUGUUGACCGAGUCAACGCUAAAAUCAUCAGGGCCAACUGAUGACGUUAGCAAGAUGUGUGGCACGCUCUGGUGCUGCCACGUGUCACACCUAUGAUUUUCUUAUUUUCGCGAAUUAUUUUAAAAAACUAGAAAUCGAUUUCAACUUCAAAAAUUCAUAACUGAAUCAUCUUAACUCCAAAAAUUAUGAAACUAGAUUCAUAAUUUUUCUAAAAUCAUGAAGAACACGGUAGAGUAGUCCUUGUUCUUGUUUGGGUCUUCUAUGGAUCUAUUUUAGUUUUUAUUUGCAAAUAGACCCUCGGUAAUUAUGUUAAUUACGCAAUUAGGAGCUACCGAAGACUCGGAGCUGAACCCGGAGCCGGAGCCGUUCGAGGACCACUAUGAUGAGGAAGAAUACUCAAGUUCAUGCCCAUUCAAUUUGAAUGGCCAUUAGGCAUUGCUAAUUAGAAUGCUAGCAUUUUAUUUCUUCGCAUAUUGAUGAUGAACCUUGCAUAGCCUAUUUUAUGCCUUGAAUCGUUGAGUGACCUACUACCAUACUACUUAUAUAUGCUAUGUGCGAUGCUUGCAUGUGUAUGUGAUAUUGUGAUUAGGAUUCUUGGUGUGAGUGGGGUUAAAACUGGCAGGAGAAGGUGUUUUUGGGAUAUUUGACGGGGGUGAGCUUUACACAACCCAAUCUUUGGGUUGGGGGCUUGGGGUUCGUUCUCGGACGUUCCCUGUUUGUUACUUAUUGCGAGUACAUGGUUGAGGAGCAUAGGAGUUGGUGGUGAUACCUGUUAUGGGUACCGUUGCAGUCCACGUUGUGGAGUUGCCUUGCGGAAGUUAGGAGCUCGCCCCGAUCUGAAAUCGAGUGGGUCGCCAUGCUUCACGGGAAUAUGUUAAACAUGCAUGUCACUCGCCGAAUUAUGGGUUUAGGCCUGGGUCGAGACUGGCAAGUGCGAUACUAUACCUGCCGUAGGAUAGAGUAUCAGUGUAGGGGGGAGAGGUGUGGACCUAUAGCCUCCUGAUUUUCUUUUGCCCCCGAUUGGCCCCGGCAGGAGUGCUUCACAGUUCCGAGGUGGUAUACUGCGGGGGAUCGCAUCCGAGCCCGAUUGCAAGAUGGUAUCGUAACUCCCAAGUUCUUCGCUCGGUAGGGUGAUGUUCUAUCGGUCGACGGACCAUUUGGGCUCACUCCGAAAUGGGUCCAGGUGUACACGCUCGAAAGAGUUAAAACUAUACGUAUAGCCGCGUCCUCGGUCAUGGACAAUCCUAUGACAUCACGACUCUCCAUUAUUUUGGGAUAUCUCUACCUCCCCCAUAGUGAUACUUGUGUGUGAUGUGAGCCACAAUUGCAGGCGGGAAGAGGGGAAGUUGCUCCCUUUCCCUUUAGGAUCCGGUUGUAGUUGUUGAGAGGUGAAAAAAGGGAGUCUCCACCUCGACCCUAGUUUGGAGAUAGGAUGUUGGUGAAAGGGACCCUGUCGAGGCAGGUGGGCCCGACGUGAUUAGAGAUUGGGAUGAUGGUUAUGGAGUUUAUCUUUGCGCUUGCCGCUACUUAGGAAACCUGAGCCUCUUCCUGACUAUUUCUUGAUCCUUAGUAUUAGGCCACUUAAAGCUUGCAUACGGAUGGUGUGAUGGACCUAUCCCAAUCCUUGGGGACAGCUUGUGAGUUUGCAGGUUACGAGUCCGACUUCAACAACAACUUCGAUGGAUGGUACGAUUGAGGGCUAAGUGCUACGCUCAAGGAUGCCUGUGGAGAUGGUCGUGAAGAUGAAGGCGUUGUCGGAAGCUAGUUACCGCUGCGUUGGUUUUAUUCGUGUCAUUUAGCCCAAGGGGCAUUUACCAGAUCGUACUCUCAUAUUCUGGGAUGUAAUAAAUAACUUGUACUGUUAUCGAUGUAUGGAUGUGAUAUUGUGCUAAAGUUCUCCAUGUGAUAUCUACUGAUACAGGAACUAUCACGAGGAUACAGGGAGUUGGAUUCUCCUCGCGGGAAUCCGGUUCGUUUCAAAAGGUACCAAAAGAUAGGGAUGAAUGGGAAAUUAUCCAAACUUUAGCAGCUAUAUAUCCAAAUUGUCCCUAUCUUUUGGUACCUUUCUUGAAUCUCUAACAGUUUAGGUUUUGUCGUAAUAACCAUCAAGAUGAAUGGGAAAUUAUCCAAACUUUAGCAGCUACCAAAGCUUCCUAUCUCAACUAUUCUUACUUAUUUGAUAAGUAACUCAUGUGCAGGUUAUUUCACUAAACCAAUUGCUUACUCUCUUUUUUCUCGGGAACCAAUUGCUUACUCUGUUUUCAAAAUGUAAAUAUUUUUUGUUUUGUGCUAAGUCAAAAAAUUUUAAUAUUGAACAUGUUUUAUACAAAUAUAUUAACACCCACAAUAUCAAAUAAGUGCACUAUCACGACAUUUCAUGGUGGAACUAAUGAAACUAAUUUAAUAUGGCCAAAGUUAGAGAAAUUUAACAUAGGAAAAAACUAUAAUAACCUGCAUUUUGAAAUGGAGGAAGUACAUCAUAACUGGAAGGCGUAUUGCACCUUAAGUACAUGGUGACAUUUUCACGCUCAUAUAACUUUAUUGUAUUUAUCUGCUGAUCUAAUAAGAUAUUGCAGCACUAGAACAAAGGAUAAGCUUGAACAUAUAAGCAAAGAAGUCAUUUUAAAGCAUUUAAUAACUUGACUUCACAUAACAGUUUGUUAACUUCUUUAUUAAUUUCAUUUCUUUUCUUUUUUUGAAAAUAAAUUUCAUUUCAUUUCUAGGAGAUGGCCCAUAUUAACAUCAUAGCAUGGCAACAUGCCAUGUGAUUGGAGAAUAGCACUGCAGUAAUCACCAGUUCACCACCCUUCUGUAUACACAUUUUUUUUGCAGGGACGAAAAGGAAAAUAACAUCAACAGGUUUAGUUUACAUCACAUUAAACAUCUCUACAGCCUUAUGAGAAGAAGUCAAUCUUUAUAAAUGCUACCUCUGCUAUGUCAACUAGACAAACUAAUCAUCCUCGCUGCGCACUGAGGCAAAGAUGCGCUUUCACAGGCUUGUGAUCGGAGCUCCUAACACAGUCGAGGGAUUCAUAUGAGCUUAAUACUGCAUCCAAGCCUGAAGAAUGGUCGACCUUGAACAAUAUCCUGUCUGUCCAAGAAGGCACUCUUACCUGCAGAAGUGAAGAUCACAAGCAUAACACGUAAGAUUUUCAAAAGCUUCGGUUGGUUCAGUCUGCAACUUGGCAUCUGGAAGUGAUGUUAAUUCAAGAUACCUUAUGACUUGUAUCGUAGAUGCUACUUCCGACAUCGUACUUGUAUGUUGGCUUAAACGACAGGGUUCCUUCGUAGUAUCCAUUGAACACUUCGCCCUUUUCAGCUUCUUGAAGAAGCUGAUCUUUGCCUCUUAGCUUCUGAAACAAGACAUAAAUGUGAGGCACUGCUACAGUCUGAAUUCUGAAAACUGGCUAGUGCCAACGAACACUUACACUCUGACGAUUCUCCUCAAUCAUCUUCCUUGCAGGUAUCGAGCUUAUUCCUUCGAGUCUAUAAUUGAGAUCACCGAGCCACACUGUUAUGUCUGCGGAUUGGGCAUACGGUUUACCGUACUUGGAGAAGAGUGAGCGUGAAAUAUGCUGGAAUUCUGAGUUCCUCUUCUCCACCUUGUGUUCAUGAGCUACACUUUAAUAAUACCAUGUCACUUCAUAAUGGCGCUUGAUUAAAAUUGACAGCUAUGUCAUCCUACAUCAUAGACUCAUAGUAUAUUUGAAUCUGUGUUGAUUUUAGUAUCAGAAUAUGAGAAACUGCAAGACUUAGCAUCUGAAUCCCUGAAAACUCUUCUACAAUCAUAUUUUCAUUGUCUGAAGUUGUAUAGCACUUGGUCUGAUACUCUGAUACUUAGAGCAUUGUAGUAAUGUAUUGGUAUGAAUUUUAGUAAACACAAGUGAAAUUGACAAAAGCAUAAACCUGAAAUUGAAAACCAACCUGCAAGAUGGCAGACCACAAAAACCAUCCGGAUCCCACUGAAGUUGAUGUACAUGGCCACAGCUCCUUUCUUUCUCCCAAUCAUACCCCCAAAACCUCCAACUGCAUGUUUGUCCACCUUCAUCUCUGUCCAAAAUUAGAAAAGCACGUUUAUAAACCUUCACCUCUAUUCAGAAUUAGGAAACUAGUUUGAAGAAAGAGGAAACAUGCAAUUGGCAUCAAGCAAUUUGGGAUAAAUAUGAUAAGAAAAGAUUUAGAAUCACCUCCGAUGUACUUCUCCGAACUCUUUGAUCCGAAAAGAAGCAUCUGAAGAGACUGCAUGCUUUUCUGACCUAAUAGACUGAAAAUUAAUGUGCAUCAAACAAUUUCAGAAUACUGCAAAAGGCUAUAGUGUGUUCAAUAGCACAGAUAAGACUGGGGAGUUUCUUACAUGUGUGUGUCGGCCAUGGUUUCUUGCAGAACUUGCGAAACAUCACAUUUUGGUGCCUCUUGCAGUCCAACAACUAGCAAAUCAAACUUUCUGUUGGAUCUUACCAAUUUUGUUAUAUCUUCCACAGACAUCUUCACCACCAGAACACACACCAAAUCAAUGUGAUUGGCCAAAUCAUCAUGAAAAAGAAAGCAAUCGAGUUACAAGUAUAUACCUUGCCAUUCAUGUUCCAUGUGAUGAUACACACACAGAGCACAGAGUUGGUGGUGAAUUCACAACCUUUCUGAAUUGGAAUUGUCUUUAUGCCAUCGUGAGUCCCAUCCUCAUCAGUAGAAACCAGGCUGUUAUUCUGUAGCUGGCUUCUCCUGUAAUGUUACAAGUAUCAAGAAGUGCAAGAGAAUCAUACGAAAAGCAACUUUUAGAAGUUCAGAUAAAAUACCAUGUUGGAAGAGUAAGGCUGCUGCAGUUUCCCAUAUCGACGUACUGAAUCCUUGUUUCUGAUCAUCUAACGUGGAGAGGACAACAAAGGAACCCUUUUUAUACAACUAUACUCUGAAACUUCAAAGGUUCCAGCCACAGAGAGAAUCAAUUGGGUUUGGAUAUGGAUACUCUUAGCCUCCAAAUUUCUUUGAGCAAUUUAUUUGGAUCUUCCAUGUGCUCUUGAAAAUUUCAACACACAUUACGAAAUAGCGACAAGUGGAAUACCGAAGAACCAACCAUUUGGGCCAGCUGGAUUUGAUAGUUAGGUACUGCAUAUCUUUGAUGUGACAAUGAGACCUCAUUUGUCUUCCCAUCAUUAGCAGGCGGCUACAGCGGUCCGUGUAUUAGGGGAAAUGUUGAAAGGGACUCCACGCAGGAAUGGAACCACCCAAGUUGCUAUCAAUAGUUUGGACACUUGGUGCUAAGGCAAACAUUUUCUCAGCAAGUAACCAUGGUGGCCAUGGACUUUUAAUGGAGAAAGUGUGUUCCGGAACACGCUGGACCUUCCCGAAAUUUCACAACUCCACCAAAAUUCCAUCGCUAGCUGUACAAGCUGAAUUGUAGGCAUCUGCAGGAAAAAGAUCAGUAUUGCAAGCAACAUCGUCCAUGAAAGUUAUCCAUCGAUGUCUUGCUAAUGAACAUUAUGAAUUUGACUCGAUUUUAGCAGGAUUUCAGUUAAUUUUGGUAAUGCAAGAGUUGAUCAAGAUUUCUAGGACUUGAGAAGGCCUUGGCCCUUGGCAGUUGCAACUAGCUAUCUAUCAGCAGCCCAUCAACUGAAAAGAAGGUCUUGAUAGCAACAUGUAUCCAUGCUCAUCAAAAGUAAGCAUCAGAACCAUCCGGUCCCUUGUUGGAUCAUGUGCCGAUCAAAUGGUCAGUGGACGUGCUGGAAUCAACAGUUCCUUGCGGGAUGAGGUUUUCCAAUCAAACGAGCAGCCGCUGCUGCAAUUUUCUGAUGGGGCUGGCUGUUGCCAAACUUUCUUGCUGCAAGAGAAGCAAAGUGGUGUUCUUGGGUAGUUGGGUUGACGACGCAUCAACAGAAGACGUAUUGAGAGUGGCAGGAUGGCAUAUCAGGCACGUGAUUGCAACUGGAAAACCACCAGCCCCAGUGCCCAACUCCAUCCUCUCGAAUCUGCACGCGGCCGACAUCACCUUACUUGAAACUACACCCAAAAUUGCAGCCAUUCUCAGUUGAAAACUAAGCAAAUCUGCACGGUCAACUCUCGUACGCGACGAGAGCGUCUACGUGAUGACCGACGAAAACCGUUGGCGGAGACGUAUACGUACGGUACGACACCAUCGACGACCGGAACAGGCCGCCCCGUCGCGCUUCAUCGGUCACGUUCUCUGUUCGCGAGUCGCCGCCGAUCCGGCCGGACCAAGCGACGUCGAUUGGCCUAAGCACGCCACGCCUCGCUAGCUCCAGUCCCGUGACCUCGAGCUCCGAAACAAACGUGGUAGGAUGGCAACAGCUGAGUUGGGGGCAACAUGGCAACUCCCGGUGAAAUAUGACUAGAUCAUACAGCCACGCAAAACAGAAUACAGGUCUCGGAAAACACCAAAGCUAACAGCUACGUGUACCGUCCCUGACUUUCACGAACACACAAAAGAGUUCAAGCAAGCACUGUGGUCACUGGAUCCAUGUUUUCUGUGGUACAUAGAAACUCAAUGCUGGGCAUAACUUUGCAGAGACGACCGCCUCAUUCCAGUAGCACCUAACAGCAAUAGCAAAACACGUUAGUUAGACACGUACUUCAAAAGAGAAUAUUUCUGAAUCAAGAAAAAGGCUAUAAAUCAUGCAAAAAUCGGUAUAUGUGGACACAGGGCAAUCAUAAAUCAUCGUGAACACUGCAAUUAUAAAGCUCACCAGAUGCACCAAUUUUUUCAGAACCAAGAAUGUAAAAACACGAGCCUGCAGUUUAUUAUUCCUAAAUCUGUGUAUUAGCAACUAGCCGUUAAUGUCACCACAAAGAAUUUUCUCCAAGGUUAUCCACAAAUAUUGCCAGUGAUUACCACACAAGGAAGUUGAAAUUGCAGGUUGUUCAUGUAACCAGUUGGGAGACCUAAAUCAUAAUAAAUGGUCUAUUCAUUUCAAUAUAGUAACAUAACAGAUAUGGCCUCAGGCUUAUUAUAAAGAAUAUGCCCUUUCUACAACUUAAACAGAUUUUAUCCGGGUAAAAGUAUAUCAACGACAAUGAGAUCUAGACAAACCUAGAAAACGCAUUCCAGUUGUUACCAUUAUAACAAAUGACCUGGUUACCAGAAAAGGCAAGAUUGAACAAAAGUGUAUAGGAUAGCUGGCAACUAAGCAGAAUGUUUCACUCUAUGCUGCUAUGCAUCAUUAGGACAUGUUCAACAAAUUCUAGCACUAUUCCCAAAAAAAAACAAUUCUAGCACUAACAGUAAAUUAUAAAUGAGUCCCUCGGCAAAUAUCUUUACAACCAUUGCAGAGAUGAUAGACCACACUUGCAUGGCAAUAUCAAAACUACAUCGGAUGCAUCAUACCAUUUCCAUUAGCAGAUACGGAACAAUAGCAGUGCAUGUGCAUAUGGAUGACUCAGGUUAGGACACACUGACAAAGCGUGAUAGUUGGCCAAUUGCAAAACUGAAAUGUAGAAUUUAUAACGUCCAUGAAACUGUUACAAGCAACAAAUAACCAGGGGCUAACACUAUCCAACACUAAUCCAUCCACAUAUCAAUAAUUCUGAGGCUCAGGAUUCAGAAUGUCACACAAAAACAACAAAAUCAUAAAUAUGACUACCAUUGUGCACAUCAAUCAAUCGCCCUACAUGUGCGAGACAUUGACACAGCAUGAGAACAGAGAAUCGGCCAUUAAGGUGAAAUGAAUUCAACAUAUAAACAACAUUGAAAGUGUUUGCUCAUUCAAAAGAUCAACCCUCCUUUGGGAGCAGCACAGUCUAUCCCUCAACUGCAAAUUCCCAUGAUGUGAAUGUGAUUAUGUUUACAAAUCCCUAGGGUAAUCAGUAUUACUGGUCUGUCCCAGGAGAACAAAUGUGAAGCAGAAACAUUUAAAUUUGACUACUUGGUUUUAAAACUCUCAAUCAAUGAACAGUUAUUCCGGGUAAGAACAGACUAAAUUUAGCCUUUAGAAUUAGCACUUUAUUUUGAAAACUGGAAUAGAACAGGCAAGAAUCUGUCCCUAUAACAGAAAACUGGAAAAAGAUACCAACCAUGGUUCAGGAUUUUUCACAAAUAUCAAAAUAUGUAAUUCGAAACCCUGUUUGUGGUAGAAAAGAGCAUUUACUUUCUAUUCCUAAAUUUAGUGGUGCUUGUUUAGUUUCUUUCCCCAAUCCAACCUAGUGUUCUCAAAGUUCUAAUAAUAAGCGUACACACAAAAAAGAAUAUCUCAAAAAACUAUGCAUGCAAAGAUCCUAGUGGUUGCUAAUAGACAGAUAAUCCAUCUGGUGAACUGACAGGUAACUGCUAUUCACCCUAAUAAUCCGAACUGCAAUCAUCCUAGUCAACCCUCACCCAUUUUGCUAGUUUCUAGAAAUCAGUUUAAACUAGAAAUCCAUUCACCCUUUUUGCAAGUCUAUAGAAAUCUCGGAAUUCAAACUAGGAUGAGAAGCGCCAAGUUGAUUUAUCCAAGAUGAAUCUAACCAAGUCCACAUCUAUAAAACUGAACACAAACCGACCGCGAUUCAUACACGCGAACAGACAGAACAAAACCACGCUAUUGUCAAGUCAACUAUUCGAAAUCGCAGAGAUGCAUCUAUCACGACCGUCGGCGCCCAGUCAACAGAGGGAUCAAACGCCCGCAAAGCAACCGGACACACCAAACCCUGGAGAGGAGAGCAGCAGGGUCCGGGGGCUCACCUUUGGGGGGCGGGGUCGGCAUGGGGACGGGCGACCCUACAGCUCGAGCUUGAGCUCCUGGACGUCGCCGUCGCGGGUGAGGAAGUGGAGGAUGUAGGGGGCGGCACGGAUGACGGCGACGCAGGAGGCCAUGACGAUGAGGUGCGACCGCAGCUGCUUGUACGCCGCCUCCUUGCUCGGGCGCCGCGGAAUCUGGCCUAGGAACAUCUUGAUUCGCUUCUCUUCUCCGAAUCCGGUGCGCGGCGACGGGCGGCGAGGGUUUCGAGCUCUGGAGGCGGCGAGGCUUAAACCCUAGCGAUCCGAUGCGAUUGGUUCUGUGACGGUGGGUGGGAGGAGGGGUCGGGUCCUUUUACCCGC